rnacentral:lncRNA from 1 species
UUUUUUUUUUCCUUUCAAUUUUUCAAUGUCAUCAAUAGAUACAAUGCUUGAAGACAGACUCAACUCCAAAUCUCCACUCCAUCCAUUUCUCAGGUUCCUGAAUAGAUUAAGAAAAUGAACUAAUACAAAGGGUCCACUUCCAUCACAACCCCCCACUUUAUGAGGGACAUUGAAUAUGUGUUGCUAUUCUGACCUAUGUUAUUAGGAUUUCAAUGUCAGCGGAUAUCGGUAUAUGAUAUAUUCAAAUUUUUUAAAGUUCUUUAAAUUAUCUAAAUUUUUUUUGAUAGAUAAUAUUUUCAUACCCGUAUUUAAAUAUGUGUCGAAUAUGGUGUUGAAUAAAAAUACAAAAAGUUCGAGUAACGUAGAUAGGCACAUUGUUUGCUGAAUGCUCAUUUUCUGGCUAGAACAUGUCACUUCUAAGCAAAGAAUCAUGAGCAGUUCAUUGACAAAAUCCGCAUAUCAAGGGAUUAGUUUCAACUUUCAAGCCAAAGUCUGCCUGUAUAAUCGUGAACAUAACUUGUCCACGUCUCCUGGAGGAGGCAUUCACUUAAUUUGCUAGUCACUUCACCUAAUUCCGAAACUUUUGGUUUUCUUAAAAGAAAUCGAUUAGCAGGGGGACUUUUCAAUGCUUGAAAUUGGUUCUCAAUGGCAUCCUCAAGCUGAUGAUUUGAACCUCAUAAUGUUGCCAUAGUGUGUAUUGAACUGAAAGCAUAUAACAAACGGCCAAGUGAUUUCUUACUCUAUAUUACUCUUCAUCAUGAAUCUUACCAAACCAGUUGAAAUUUUUAUUUUGCUUUACAACUUAUACAUAUUGCAAUAUUUGUUUUUCUUUGUAGUACAAGUCUGAUAUUUAUAACUAUACAUAGGUGUGAAAGAUUUUAGCAUAAUUUAUGAACACAAUUAAGUUUAAAGCCAAAUGUUCCAAUUUAAAGCUAUUAAGUUAUUUGUUUUAGUAGAUAUUCAACCAUAUCUAUUCAUUCGGUUACUUGAUGUUUUUACCAAAUUAUAAAUUGAUGGCAUAAUAUCAAAUUUUGCUCUCAACGUUUACAUCUUUUGUCAAUUUAACCAUUAUUCUUUAUUUUGAGCUAAAUUUGACCCUCAAGCUUUCAAAAAAGCACCAAAUUGUGUUUUUUUUUAAACAAAAAUGGUGAUUAAAAUAUUAAUCUUUUUAACGAUGUAGGCAUGACAAUCCACAUAACAAUUCUUGUAUACUUCAUGCUGACUUGGCACUAUUUAUUUUAUAUGUCUUGUCAAUUUAUCGUUAUGUUUUUUUCCGAUUCUGCAUCAAAUAUUGUUUAUGUAAUAUUAAAUUUUGGCUUACAUAAUAUCAAUGUCUUUAAAAUUUUACAUGUGGUAUCAUAUGAGCCUAUCUAUAAUUAUUUCUAAUAAGGGAUUCAAAUUAAAAUUAUGAGUUUAUUAUAUCAAUGAAUGCACACCUAAAUCAUUUUUUUAAAUAAUGAUGAUUUGAACUUGGACUAUUUUUAAAGUAAAUGAUGAAAUUUAUAGUGAUAUUAAUAGUAGAAAAAAAAUUAAGUUCGGUAUAAUUGGCACAUGCUUUGCAUCAUCAUCAUCAUCAUCAUCAUCAUUGGAUUAGUUCUUAUGAAAUUUAAAUUCAAUGCAAUCAUUUUGGUUUUAUGAUUUUUUUUCUUUUUUUGGAUUUGGUGGAUUCUUAUGUUUUGUAGUUAUUUCGCUUCAUUUACAUGUCUUAUUUAUUGCUUUUGGAUCUUGAAUUUGCAUUAUUAGAAAAUAAAUAUGUUGUUAUUAUUAUAAGCUGUGAGAACAAGAACUUGUACAGUAAAUAAUGAGAAUGAUCAAACAAAUUGAGUCUUAUAUUUUUGUGAAUAAUUAUUGCCAACAACUUUAAUACCACAAUUCCAUAAGCUGAAAGAGUGAAAGAAUAUCUUACGUUUGUGGAAGAACGUUUCUGUUCUACAAAAAAGUCAAUUAUUGGUACUUUAAUGGAACAACUCACAACCAUGAUGUUUGAUGAGUUGAAGGGAAUGUAUGAACAUAUCAUUGACAUGACUAAUAUUGUAGCAUGACUAAAGAUCAAGAGAAUGAUGGUGGAUGAUUCUUUCUUAGUGCAGUUCAUUUUGAAGUCACCACCUCUGAAUUAUGAGCCAUUUCAAAUUAACUAUAACAUUAUUAAAGAUAAAUGAAAUGUUAAAGAAUUGGCCAUUAAGCUUGUCUAGGAGGAAGUAAGAUAAAAAAGUUCAAGAAAUUAUUCCAUCAACCUUGUAGGUCAAGGAGCUAGCAAAAGACUUAAAAAGAAAACCAACAAGUUUAAAUUGGAACGAAUAGCAGAUAAGUGUCAUCACUUCCAUACGAAAGGACAUUAUCAGAAAAAUUGCUAAAAGCACAAAGUUAGGUUUGAAAAGAACAAUUAUUUUAAUGAUUCUAUAUGUUUCAAAUCAAAAUUAAUUGAAGUUCCUAAUAUUACUUGGUGGUUUGAUUCUAGUGCUAGUACUCAUAUAUCAAGCAUGAUGCGUGGAUUCAUUCAUGUUGGAAAAAAAUCCGAUUCAAAAACGAUUUUCUUAUACCGUGGAAAAAUAAAAAUUUUGAAAAUCGAAUUGAUUUGUAAUAUUUAUUGUAAACCCCAAAUUUUGCGCAGCCCAAUAAUAAUAAAUAAGACCCAAAAAAAUAAUAAAUAGGUCCAAUUAUCAAAGUCCAUUUAUAAUAAGUACAAGCCUAGAUUACAAACAAAAAUCCUAGCCCAACAGGCCCACAAAACUUAGCAAGUUUUUAGCCAAAAAGAAACCCUAGGCGCCACACCUAGAUGCAGCCCGCAUGCCACCACUGCCACCGCCACUGUAGCACCGUUCCCCACUCGCCUAUCGCCGGCCAUCCAUGCAUCUGACACCUGCAAGAAGAAAUGAACACGCAAUAGCCAACGCCAACAAGCAGUAGGAAAAAAAACAAACGCAAAAAGACAAAAUAAAAUAAUAACAAACAGCCUUAGUUCGGUUAUAAAAGCCGAAAACGAGACCAUUAUACCUUCUUUGGGGGGGAAGAUUAAAUACAAAACAAAACAGAAAAGAUUUGAACUUUUAUUUGAAGGUGAUAUUAAUUUUUUUUAUUUUUAAGAUCUAUUGUUUUUUUUAUUUUAUAUUAUCUAUGAAAAUAAAAAGAAAAAUAGAGAAACGUAUCUGAAUCGCCCCGUGGCUUCGUCGACGGAAGUCCCUUCGCCGUCGUCGAAAUCGGGCUUAAAAAGAGGUCUAAGGUUUUUUUCUUCGACCCCUCGAGUUGAGGAGGCCCAGCCUUCAGGUAUGCUGCGAAACAAGGGCUAAAAAGCCCAUUUUUCCCUUUAUCGGCCACUGACCAUAGCGGCGGCACUGCGGCCGAUGGCCGGACCCACGGCCAAUCAAGGAGAGGGUUUUGGUUUUUUUUUUAAAUAAAAAAUAAAAUGGCUGAAUGAGUUUUUAAAAAAAUUGAUUUAAAUGAGGGCACUAAACGAUGCUAUUUUGAACCAAGGUUACCAGCACCCAAAACGACGUCGCCUGACCCCUCGACCCACGCACGCAACCCGACUCGCCAUAGGAUUCGCGUGUUUUCUAAAAAUGGGCGAAUAUCUGCUUUAGUCCCUUCGCUUUGUCACUUGUUUUCAAUUGGAUCCUUCGAUUCUUUAUUUCGUGUUUUUAAUUUGGCCCCGUGGUUCUUGCGCUUGCUUCAUUUUGGUCCUGCGUGAAAUGGUGCGCUGGGAAUGAGAACAAUUUCCUCUUCAGUCCCCGCACCUUUGCACGUGUUUUGUUUUAAUCCCUCAAUUGGCCAUAUCUUUUAUUUCUUUAAGUAAUCCGCCCUAAAGUAUUGCCCAGAUUGCAAUUUAAUCCUAAGCAUAAUUUCGACUCUUUUUUUAUUUAUUAUUUUAUUUAUUUACUUUACCUAUUCACUUUUAUUUAUUAUUUAUUACUUCUUCAACCUUUUGCAUUAAAAAUAAAUUUUAAAAUAGAUUAUUAUUUUAUUAUCUUUGUUAUUAUUAUUUUGCUUGUUUCGUUAUAUUUUAUUGAUUUAUCAUUUCUUUUAAUUAUUAGAUUUUCAUAUUAUGUUUACUUUUUCUUAUUAUGUGGUUCCUAUUUUCAUUUUAUUUUAUUUUAUUUUAUGUUACUUCAUUUAUUGUUGUUGCAAUUUAAUUAUCAAUAUCACAUUAUUGUUAUUGUAUCCUAUUAUUUAUUUUUUAAAUAUUUUACCCACGUGGUUAUUUUACAUCCCGGCCCGACGGCCCGCCCGAAAUAUGGGAGGGUUUGGGUAAAAAUAUAGGCCCGAAAUAUGGGCUUGGGCAAAAUUUUAGGCCCGUUUAAAAAAUGGGCCGGGCCUCGGGCAAGAUUUUUUUGGCCCGGGCCGGCCCAAAAAAUAUUAAAUAUAUAUUUUUUAUUUUUAAAAUAUAAUAGUUUUUUAUUUUAAGUUUAUUUACUUUCAUUUCCUUGACUAGUGUUACAAAAUAAUAAUAAUAAAACAUCAAGUUUGUUUUACUAAUCAAAUGUUAGAUUUUGUUACAACAAUUAAUACAAUUAAUACAAUUAAUAAUUUGAUAAAUUUACUAAUCAAAUGUUAGAUUUUAUUACAACAAUUAAUACAAUUAACAAUUAAUAAUUUUCUAAUUUUACUAACAAUUAAUUUUAAUAACAAUUAGUUUUAAUUUUAUUAAAAAAACUAAUUUUAAUUUUAAUUUUAAUUAAAAAUGGGCCGGGCCGGGCCGGGCCGGGUCGGGUCAGGUUCGGGCCCCAUAUUUUUUCUUCGGGCCGGGUCUGGGAAAAAUUUCAGGCCCAUAUUUCGGGCUGGGCCGGGCUCGGGCCUAGUAAACGGGCUAAAAUUUUUUAUGGGCUCGGCCCGAACCCGGCCCGGCCCGGCCCAUGGACAGGUCUAAUCCUCGAGGGUUCCAAGUGUCGUGUCCUAACUCACGGGACAUGACAUUCCGUUACCCCGAGAUGAGGGGGUCUUUAAUUUUCGUUUCGAUUUAUUCAAGCAUUUUUAAGAUAAUAUUAAUAAAAAACGAAUCGUAUUUUAAAAUCUUCUUAAAAUUUCAACUUUCGACAUUUAGACAUUAAGUAAUCAACUAGGUACCAAUUUUGGGCGUAUCGAGUGUGCUAAUCCUUCCUCAUGCGCAACUGACCCCCGAACCCAUUUUCUAAAUUUUGUAGACCAAAAAUUAUCAUUUUAGUAAAUUUAAACUUUUAUUAAAAUGAUUAAAUUAUGAGGUGAUCCGAUCACACCUAAAUAAAAGGAUUGGUGGCCACUCCAUUUUCAUUUUUAAAUAAAAAGUCGACCUCUUUUACAAAAAAUUGGUUUCAACAUUUAUAGCAGUAAAUUUUUUCUCAAAAUAAUACUUGUGCUUUAAGUGAGACGGAUCCUAGAUGUUCCUAGCUUUCAUUCGAACGGUCUUUUUUUGUUAUUCGCGUACCACGAACUGCUUCUAGUGUGGACUCGAAUAAUUACAAAUCAAACACAAAACCAUAAAUAAUUUUUUUACUUUUAGUAGGAAAGUAAAUUUCUCUUAUAGAAAUCGGUAGAAUUGUUAUUCCCGGAAAAUAAAAGUUAUACUUAGAAAUAAAUUCUCACUAUUUUCGGGUAGAGUAACAAUAUCUCAAAAGUUGUGUGUAACUUAUUAUAUUUUUAGCCUUACCAGUGCCAUCUAUUUAUAGGGAGAGGAACUGAAACCCUAGUUGAAUUAGUAGAAUGCAUUUAGUGUCUAUUUAAUAAAAAAGCUCGAUCCCCUAGUUGAACUAGGAGAAAAGGGUGGCUAAUUGGGUGUACCUCCCCUCAUAUUUAUUAUGAUAGGGAUUCAGGCAUCUCCUGUAUUGGGCUCAAUUAUAUGUGCUUCCUAGACUUUUAGCCCAACAUUUUAUAAUUUAAUCCAACCCAAUAUAUGUUUUUCUAUUUCUUGAAAUAGACAUUAUUUAUUAAAUUAAUUUAACUAAACUAAAUUUUCUAAUUAAAUAAUUUUCUCAAUUCGAUACUAAUUUCAUUAAAAUCAUCGCAACUUUACCAUAAAAUAAUCUAUGAUAAAAUAUAUUAAAUUUCUACAUUCAACGAAUUCACAAUAACCAAUUAAUUUAAUUCCAUUCUUGAACUUCAAUUAAUUAAAUAAUAAUUCGAAAAACUUAAAUUAAUUCUCAUUCAUUUUCGAAUGUAACUUAUUUCUGUAACUUUAUCAUUUGUAUCCAUUUUUGUUCAUUUGAUUUAACAAGAAAUUCAUGUUUGGUUUCAACGAACUAGCGGAGGGACCGAUUGGAUAUGUGAUUAGGGCUUAAAUGAUUUAUAAUUAAGUUUCAACUUUUCGCCUAAUAAUUAUAAACUCAUUUAGUCACGAAGUCAUUCAACUAUAGUUUCGUGACUAAGCUCUCCCAAUUACAUACCAUUACGAAAGCUUACUCGAUUAGUGCUCGUAUAAUAACCUUGUCAUAAGUGUGUUACCCUCAUAGGAUAUCUUUAAUCUCUUUGGGAUAAAUUCAUUCUCCCAGUAUGAUCUUAUUUUAUCUCAUGGUAACCAUUACAUCUUCCUUCAUGAAAAGCCAAUUCCUAUCAUAUAGUAAUUAAGUCAUUCAUCACAAAAACAAACGACCCAUGGCCACGUUUACUUUUCAUCUAUCAUGUAAUGCCAAUGAGAGGAUAUCAUUUACCCAUGUCUUGGACUAUGAAUUCCACGAUUUUGAAUGAUGCUACAUAUUGCAGAAGUUGUAUGCCCAACACACCAGCUUUCGGCUCCUUAUCUAUUCGUACUCAGGCUUUUACUUACACCAAAGUGUACGAGUCACACAUACAUAAUCCGUCAUCCACUUAGGAUUUAGGUAUGCCACAAUAUGAACAUCACAAGUGAAUAAAUCCAUAAACAAAUUCAGGAUCUAUUCUUAUUGGGUCCAGUCUGAUAUAUUGUCGGUCCAGUCAAUCACAUCUAUAUCUCUAUCUUCUGGGGGUCACCUACUUCGAUGCCCAAGACAAAACAUCUCCCCAAUUGGACUUGAUAGAUGAAAUAAUAGUCUUUCAAUCUAUUUGCAAAUUUUUUAUUAGACUAAGGAUAUGUUUAGGUUCAUCUAAUAAUAUAAGUUGUCUUUUCAUAUUACGAUUUGACCACGUAAAACUGCUUAGUAUUAGUUAAACAUUAGACAAUCAGUGAGCUAAUAUUUACUUCUAUUUUUCUUUACUGCAAAAACCACGUGAAGACAAUAUACAAAGGGUAUUAAUGUAAUUCAUGAAUAAUUUUAUUAAACCAAUCUGCCCGAAAAAAUAAAAGUGUACAUAAACGAAAAUACUACACUUAGGGCAUCAGAUCCAACACUUCAAUUCCUAUCACAAACCCAAAUGAAGAUUUCCUAUAUAUGGGGAAUCAUGUCCAGGCUUCGAUUGAAGUCACAGGGACUUAUCAUUUAUUGGAAUCAACAAAAAUCCCGUUUUGUUUUCACAAGUCAUAAAUAGUGAUGGUCUGAUAGAUGGUUUGAUUCCAUAAAAGAUGAGUUGAAAUCUAUGGAACCAAAAAAGUUUGGGAUAUUGUUUCCAAACGUGAUAUUGAACAAUAUAAACAUAGAUUUGUUGCCAAAUAUUAUACUUAAAAGGAUUAUAUUAAUUAUAAAUAGACUUUUUUUUAUUUGUCUCUAGAGUUACACCAAAUGAAUGUGAAAACAACAUUUUUAAAUGGAUAUUUUGAAGAAUUUUAUAUAGACCAAUCUAAAGGUUUCUUAGUUGAAGGAAAAUAUCAUGUGGUGUAUAACUUAAGAUGUAACUGUUGGAUAAACAGGUUUGGAAAAUGCAACGGAAAAUAAAUUUAAGGAAAAACUGGAGUUUUAAUUUUUUUUCCAAAACAAGAUCUUGGUUUUAAUAUCUAAAGUAAUAAACACUUAAUCAACAUUCUAGAAUGAGCACUUCGACCGAGUAGUCUUCUCCACUAUCCUCAAGCUCUCGUCUGCCAAAGUGUGAGUUCGCUUCGAAUUAGAAAAUUUUUCACAAAAAUCACCAAUGGGGUAAUUUGCAAUUUCUCUAAACUUUUGGGUCAAGUUGUAAAUCAGAAAAAUAUCUCUAGAAAUUUUCUGGAAUAAUCUCUUUAGAGAAUUUUCUCUCUACAACUUUCUCUUGAAUUCAAGUGUGUGAAAAAUAAUGACCCAGUGCUCUCAUUAUAUAGGGAGAGUUUAGAGACUUCAACAAUGAUCAAACUUAAUCACUUUAAUAUUAAAUUAAUAUAAUAUUUAUCAAGAUAAAUAUUAGAUUAAAUUUAAUGUUUAAAAUAAUAGAAUGUUUAUCACUUUAAUACUAAAUUAAUAAAAUACUAUCAACAUAAGUAUUAAAUUUAAUUUAAUAUUAGACUAUUAAAAUAUUAUUAUUUUUGGAAUAAUUAAUCUGAAAUCAAAUUCUCUGAUAGAGUUCUAUUAGGAGUGUAACUCUACCACUAUUCAACUACCAACGACCAACCACCGCCGGCCACCAGGACGUUGCCAUCACAGCCACCAGCACCGAUGUGCCCGGUGAUGUAGGUGACUCGGUCCGGGUUAAUGAUGACCCGACCAAUCCAAUCUAGCCACCGGUUGGAUCAUCGGCCUGGUUUCACAUACUGGGUCUGGUUCGACCAGCUUUUAGGUCUUGGUCUUAAUUUUGGGCUCCCGUGCCCAAUUUAUGAUCUCAAGUCUAAUUUUCAAGUUCAAUUACCCAUUGGGCCAAUUGUCUAACUUGAAAAUUAACUUCCAAAAAUAUCAUAUUAAUUUUAAUUGAUUUUAUUAAUUUAAUUUUACUUGAUCAAAAUUAAAUUUUCUGAAAAUCACUUAGAUUUUCCAAAUUAAUUUUUUCAAGAAAAUUUUUUAAUCAAAUUCUCUAGUUGAACAAUUCUCACGACCACCUAAUUUAAUUCUACAUCGAAUAAAUCGACUCAAUUAAAUUAUUCCAAAAGUCGCAAAAUUUUUUUUCUAAUUCAAAUACAAUCCGGUCGAACUUUUGUUGAGCUAGCAGAGGGACCAAUUGGACAUAAACAAUUAGGCUCUAGUGAUUGCAAUUAUGUCUAGAAGCAUCGUUCCGAUAAUUCGCAAUUACUUAAUCAUGGAGUCAGUCCACAAGAAGUAGCAUGAUUGAAAUCCCCUUAUCGUAUACUCUUUACGAAAGCAAUUCAUCCAACUACUUUGCCCAAUAACCUCGUCAUGUGUAUGUUACCCCCAAAUGAUAUCAUUGAUUCCUUUAAGUUAAAUCCGUUCACUCAAUACAAUCCUAUUUUAUCUCAUUGUCACCAUUGUAUCUUCUUAAUGAUUAAUAUGAUCAUUGUUGAACAAAUGACUAUGAUAAAUUGCUCAUUCGAGAAUAAGCAACCCGUGGCCACGUUCCAUAUUUAUCAAUACACACAAUGUCAAUGAGAGGAUAUCAUUAACUCUUUAAUUGAGAUAUGAAUUCCACUAUUGCUAGUAAAGCCAUGCCAAACACAAGUCAUGUACCCAAUAUACUAGCUAUGGGCUCGAUCAUCUUUAGAGCAUAAGCUUCCAUUUAUAUCAAAGCACAUAAGCUGCAUACAAAUGGUCAAUGAAUAACUCAGUAUUUUGGUAAAUCACAGCAUUAAUGUCACAUGUGAAUUAAUUCACAAAUGGAUUCAGAAUUAAUUCAUCUUGGGUCCAAUCCAAUGUAUCAUUCUACCAAUGAAUACAUAUAUGUCUCUACUCGUGAAGUCAACUGCUCCGAUAGCCAAGACUAACCAUCUCCCCAAUUGGAAUUGUAGACGACAUAAUAAUCCUUCUCAAUAUUGCAAUGCUCACUUUGAUUCUUUUAUGAUAUCAUGGACUCAUUUAGAUUAUCUACUGAAGUAAGUUAUCUUUCUCGUAAUGUAAACAUUCUUUACAAUGCCACUUAUCUUCAGUUUGAACUUUAGACAAUCAAUGAGCUAAUAUUUGUUUGUCACAAUUUCGCUAUGCAUGCAAAAUAUAAAAGAUAUAAAUACAAAAGACAUAAUAGUGAAAUGAGAAAUUAACUUUAUUUAUUUAUCGUUCAAAUAAAUAGAAAAUAGUUACAUGUUUAAUACAAUAUGGGCACCUUUCCUAACAGUAACAGCCUAAUCUUCAAUGGUACCGAAAAAUACGGGUUUGAGACCUCAUUUAUAUAAACCAAGACCGUAAUAAUUAAAAAUAAACAUUAACGAAUAUAAUAUAAAAAUAUAUUAAAGUUUGGUCUAGUAAUUUUGUUGAAUUAAUAGUUAAUUAAGGCUCAUGGACUAAAUUGUAAAAGUCCAUUCACUAUAGAGUUUUGAUUUUCAAAAGGUUUGAGGACUUAAAUAGCAAUUAACCAGUGGUUUUAAAAUGGUAGUUAAAUCAUUAUUUAGUGGAUGUUAGUGGGAGGUGAUGGCCAUCUCCAUUAACUGAAAUUAAAUUUAAAAUUAUCUUAGUUAUUUAAGGUUUAAUAAGUUAAUUAGUUGUUAAUUAGCAUAUAAAUAUCAUGUUAAGUGGAAGGAAAGAGAAAAAAAUAAAGCUUUCAUCUUCUUCCUUCAUGACCAAAACUCCAUGGAAAGAAAUGAGAAAAACCAUUCUUUGAAAGUUUGAUAUUCGACCAACAUCUAGGUAUGAAAUUUAAGUCUUUUUCUUGUAAUUUUUAUAGAUUUGAGGUCAUAGGAGCUUGAUUUAGCUAGCUCAUGUGUCAAUUUGUGAAAUUUCAAUUUUUAGAAAGUUUUCAUUGUUUAUUUCUUGAAGAAUUAAGCUUGAAAUUGAUGAUUUUAAACUUAGAUUAUAAAAAUGACUAGAUUGCAAAGUUAACUUAGCUUGUUUGUCAACUUUGUUACAUUAGGGACCAAAUUGAAUAAAAUAAAAGCUAUCAAGAUAUUAUGUUAGAAAUAGAAAUUAUAAGAUCCUUAAUAAGAAUUUAUGAAAUCAGACUUUAAUCCGAAGCUAGAAAUUGAAAGUUAUGACUAUUCUAAGUACAGGGACUAAAUUGAAUAAAAUGUAAAAUUUAAGGGAUGUCAAGUAAUUGAGUUCAUAUAGGAUCAUGCAUAACAUAGUGUAGUAUAAAAAUGUUUUGUAUUGAUUGAUGAUAUAAAUUAAAUUUUAUGGAUCAAGAAUUGGAUCAAAGUGAAGUUAAUCGCGAAAAAGCUAAAAUUGCAUAUUAGUCCUUGGAGCAGUUUCUCUUUUCACAUUUUGAAAAAUUUCAUAUGGAACUUACCAUUCUAUUUUAUUUUAUGUAUGAAUUAUAUUUGAAUUUAUUUAUAUUUUAAAUUAAGUAGAAUUUAGUAAAUUUUGCUCAUAUGGUUUAAAAUGGACUGAAUUGAAAAGUAACGUGAAUAUUGGUUAAUAUAACAUAGUACAGGGUACAAAAACAAAAAUUGAUUGCUUAUAGGACUCGUAAAUUAAAUAUGAAAUCUUGUACAAUGAUUGGAAUUGGCAUAUAUACGAAAAUGAUGCCCGUGUGAACUUAGUAAAAGGUUAGGAUAUGUAUGGCAUGCCAUUAGGGUUAUAGACGUAAUUGAUUAGGGAUUUUCAUGUUAUUACGAGAUCUAGCAUUUGUUGUAGAUUCUCAAGUUAUACGUAUCAUAGGUUUACCCCAGAUGGGUAACCUCGAUACAAUGCUAGGUUAUGUUUGCAAUUCCGUUAAAAUGUUAACUUGUGUAAGCAGCCUUGAUAUACUGUCAACUUGUGUAAGCGUCAUAUUCUCGUGUAUCCGAGUCCAUUUUGUAACACCCUAUACUUGACCCGAUUGUCAAGUUCGGGUACCGAAUGUCAUAUUCAACUCGAAUAACUUGAAAUAACUUUUAGUCUGACUUAUUAUAAUUAUUUUUGGCUUUAUUAAAUUACAAUAUUUAACUUCAGCUAAUAAUCCUCAUAUGCUACACUACAAUUCUUACAAUUUUAAUACAUUAGCAGAUCUGGCAGUAUUUACAAUUUUGACUUAAGGUUGUAACACGAAUGCAUUUGAAUUAUUUUCUAAGGCGUAACCUCUAAGAAUUUUCCCCUCUAUACACAUGAACGACAUCUACAUCCACCCUCACACUGGUGGAGUCUAGCUUGGUCCCUCCCCUUGAUUCCCUAGUUAAACAUUUAUCCUGCAAUUCAACAGCAAUUUUAUAAGUUCAAAUGAACUUAGUGAGAUCUUGUGAAAACAGUGCACAACAAUCUUCUGUAACUUUUAAGAAAAAAAUUUAAAUUAGAAAUUUCCAACUCUAUGUCCAUCAUUGGCCUUAUUCAGACUUACCUGUAUGGACAUCGCCCUGCCUCUUUCCAUAGUUUGUCGAUGACGGUUUCAUUCUCUAACUUAGACAUGUACGCCACUUUUUCUGAUACGGGAUCUUUAUGGACUUGGUGUGAUUCCACAUCAUCCUAGUAUCCUUUGCGCCCAAUCCAUCUUAACUCAUACACUUGGAUAAGGUUCAUUGCCUACCACUGGUAGUCUUCCACCAAUAUUCUCCUUACUUUUGAAUCCUUACCCUUACAAACUCACUCUGGACUUGGUUUACCUCAUUCCAAUCUUCUGGAUGACCGAAAUUAGUAUCUAAUUUCUAUCGAAUUGUAACUUACCACUUCCCUGCGAAUUAUCCACCCACCGUAGAGCCUCGUGUGGACUAACUGGUGUCACCUAGUUCUGUUCAACAUUCCACUUCACUGUAGAUUCUUGAUAGACUCUACUAGUUAGACCAAUUGAGAAAUCAUUACUUUUCGAUGGGCCUAAACGGACUUACCCGCCUCUGGCUACCUUUUUACCCGCGAACCCUUUGAAUUAGGUUCCGCUCAAUCAUCUAUUAUAACCCCCGAUUUAGGUUUAUUUGUCUAAUCCUACGGACUCAUACCCAUGGAUUAUCCACAAUUCAACAUGAUUAAUCAUUGUUACGAGGCUUACCUGUAACUUCAAACUUUUCUACCCGCCCGUUUUUACCCUUACAUUUUGGUAGAUUCCUGAGCUACCCCGUUUACGUGCAUUCUCAAACGCACCAUAUACGUCCAAUCAUACUACCUUUCUUCGAGUCAUACCUUGAUCCCCCUUACCUUGCCCUGUUAGCUUUCAAGAUCAACGUCUUAGUGGACUUCACCUGACACCAUAGCCGAAAUAUGGUCUUACUCAGUAUGAACCCAUGUUUAAUGUCCUAGCAGACUUUUAUUGGUUGUCACGGCUGAAUUAUGGCCUUACACCUUGUAAUCCUCAUGUUUAUUGUCUCAGUGGACUUUAUUGGACACCACAGCCAAACUAUGGUCUUACACCCUAAACCUCUUUGAAGUGUUGCCCGAAGGACCUUACCGUUGUCGCGAUGUCGCCCUAUAAAACCUAUUGACCAUCGUUGCGGUGUUUCUUUAUGGAACCUAAUAACCAUCGUCAUGGUGUUGCUCUACCAAGCCAGUCAAUAUCUGUAACAUCCCAAAAAUCAGGGGUUAGUAAAAUCGGGUUUGUGAAUCGAGUGAGAGUGGUCAUGCUUUAAUUUUUUAAAUCGGGUUUGUGAAUCGAGAGAGAGUGGUCAUGCCUUAAUUUUUUAAAUUAUCUAUGCAUUUUUAGGAAAUAAAUGAGUUAUUAGUUUGCUGGUUAAGUGUUAAUGAAAUGUUUCUUGAAACCCAAGUUCAAUUUCCUUCUAUCUCACUAUUUUUAUUAUUUUGCAAAUUUUGCCUUAAACCCUAGUUUGUGACAUGUCUUAUUUUUUUAAGAUAAAUAUUUCAAAAUUAUAUGAAGAAUGAGUUAUUGGUUUGAUGGUUAAACAUUAGUGAAUUUAUCUUUGAGGUCUUAACUUCAAUUCCAUUCACAUGCAAAUAAUUUCAUUUUUUGACAAAAACCCCUUGUUUUAAUGUGUGGGCCAUCCAAGCCUAAUUAACCUAGGUAUAAAUAUUAAUUUUUCACUAAUAAUCAGCCUUUAAUCCUCCUCCUCAUUUCCCUAAUCGUUCCUCUCCUCCUCUCUUUCUCUUUGAUUUUAAUUUUUUUUCAUUUUCUCCAUUAUUGUCGUCGCCUACACCUAGUUUUACCAUCUCUUUCUUUUUUUUUUCUUUUUGCCACAAUAUUUGCUAACAUAUUCUCCACCUAUUGCUGUCAUUUUUCCUCAUUAAAAUCAUCCCCAAAUCUAAAAUCUUGAACUCCAAGAUCGAUCCAAACAUUGCCAAGAAAGUGACACUGUCGUUUCUCUCAACUAGUUUUGGUAAGGUCUCUUUUCUCUUCAAUUUUUUUAUUAAUUUUUUCAAUUAAAAACCAAAAUUUCUAGUUGGGGGAUUUUAAAUGAUUAAAAAGGUAUUUUUCUAGAUUUUAAUGAGAUCUCAAACCAUUUUAAAAUUCAUCCCCAAUUUUGGCCACCAUGGGUGGUGGUGCGUGUGCCUAUAUGCAAGAAAGGGGACUGUUUUGUUUCUUUGUUCUUGCUUAUAUUUUUCCAGCCUUAAUUUGAGUUCUUGAACCCUACUAAUAAGCUUUUAAACCCAUUUCAAUUAGGGAAAAAUUUUAUUGAUCGAUUGGCCAUACGGUACACACAAAUUGUGAAGCAGAAGUACAAUUAAGGGUAACUAAUUUGUUAUUUCGACAUAGUUGUUGGGUAAAGAUUAUGAAUUGAUUAAAUGAAGGAAUUUAAUCAUUAAUUAGCUACUUAUUUUCCAGUAUAUUAUUGAAUUAGGUGCUGACCCAAACGCCCCAAAUCAUCCGUAAAGGCGAAGAACAAUUGUACGUACGGUUCGCAUGGAUACAGUGUAAUGAAUCUAACUAGUUUAGAUUCAUAAAAUAGUUAUAAUUUCAACGAUUGGUUUGAACCCAUAAGUGGAUACUUGGGGGCUGGUUUAAUGGUAAAUUGAUUAAAUUUACACUGAAUUUUGGUUUUGGUUCAUUUAAGAAAUUAUUAAGGAAAAUUGGAAGAUUCGCUAGUGUGCUGCGAGGAAAUGAAAAAUAAGGUGUGGGGGUCCUAAAAUCAUAAAAAUAUUUAAAAAUGUUAAAUGUCAUGUUAUAUUUAAUAAAUUAGCUUGCUGAAUGGAUUGGCUUAAUAGCCAAAUUAUUGAUUUUGUGCGUGGCCGAACUAGGUAUGUUUUAAGCCUUAAAAUACUAGCAUGUUGGCAAAAUUGUUAUUUUGAUAGUAUGAAUGUUUGAUUGAAUUUGUAAUUGCAUAUUUGAGUUAUGAGAUAUGAGAAUGUUUGAUUAAAUGAUCUAAUGUGUUGAGAUAUUAAGCUUAUAUAUGAUUUAAACGUAUGAGAUAUUUGUUAUAUUGUGUACUGAAAAGGGUGCUAUUUAUGCACAACGAAAAUUCGUAAAGUAUGUGAAAUUGAAUGAUAUUGAUUGAUACCAACACAAUGGUAAUUUGAAAGAUUGGAACACUGUUUCUAUUUAUUGAAAAUAUGUUAUUAUUGAGGACAUGCUGAGCAUGUCAAAUGAAUAUGAAAAGUAUUGAGAUAUGAUUAUAUAUGAGAUUGUGUGACAUAUUGCAUAUGCAUUGGGUUGGGAUUUUGUGGUUGGCAGAGGAGCUCCGUGGAGUACCAGCGACAUAUUAAGUCUGCAUUAUUCAUAGAUAGUGCACUGCACCUGGAGUACCGAGGGGAAUGGCGAUUUUUCGCAUUUUUAUUGGCAACUUAUCUGUAUUUUUACUGGCAGAAUUUUUGGCAUAUUGUUUUCGGUGGUUUUAACCACAAUAAGAUUAAGCCCAUAAUAUUUUGGAAUUCGGAUGAAGGGUUCAGGGGAACUAGUGGUGUGUAGCGGAUGGUAUGGGUAGGAACCUUUUUACAUUUCAUCAUGUGCACGACAUAUUUGAAUGUUAUUGAUUUAUGCUACGUAUUGUAUUUUGUUGUAUUGAAUGGUAUCGAAAUUAAUGAUUGUUACUCGAAUGAAUGAUGACCUAUGCUCAUACACCGUUUGACCUCAAUUUGAUAAUGGCUAUGCAAUGACAUGAAAUUCCUAUGAUGUUUCUAUUUUCUUAUGUUAAAACUAAUUAGUUUCACUGCAUUCGAUAUUUAUGAUUGUUUAAAUAAUUGUUCGACUCACACUGAGCUUUUCACAAGCUCGCCCCCCAAUAGUGCUUAACUUUUCAGGUAAACCUCAAAAUUAGGAUCGGACUCAGCAUUCAGAGAAUUACCUUGGACCUUGGGCUAUUCCUAAUAAGUAUCAUUAAGCCUUUAUUGGUUUUGGCUUGUAAUUUUUAAUUAUUUCUGGUCUGUGCCUUGGUAACUUUUCUUCUGGGAUUUUUUUGCAUGCAUGGAUUACUCAAGCAUAAUAAUCGGAUAAUGCAUGAUAUUGGGCUUAAAUAAAAUUUGAUAUUUUCCCUUAGUUUUCUACUGCAUUGCAAAGAAACUGUUUUUGAAAAGCAAAUCAAUAAGUCAAAGUUUCCAAAAUGACUUGAAAAAUGGUUUUUCCACAGCAUUAGUUUAACGUAGAGUUUUUUUUUAAAUAAAAAAUAGCGACAAGCAAACGGUUUUUCUAAAACAAUACUAUAAAAAAUAAAAUGAAUCCUAAGUAUACAUGACCUAAUGAAUGAAUGCUUUUAAGCUAACUCAAAUUACAACUACGGUUUUCUCUAAAAUGGUUUACUUAAUGUCUUCAAAAGUAACGUAAGUUAGCCUAGUCAUUUCGGUGGCUAAUGUAGCAUUCUCAAUCUAGCCAUAACGUUUAGGCCGGGUUUGGAAGGAUACAAUAUCAUUCCGUUUCAUAUUUAACCUUGAUGCUCAAACAUCGCAGUUUCCCCUUCGCAAGGAUCGAAGCUUCGCACAUCACGAUUUGCACCCAACAACACCAUUUGGUGGAAUCUUAACGAAAUUUCAUUUCCCUAUCCAUCUGCCCAUUCCUCGAUUUUGUCAUUUUUAACUUUGAUGCUCGAACACAGUAGUGUCCCCUCCGCAAGGCUCGAAGCUUCGCACAUCAUGAUUUACACCCAACAACACUAUAUGGCAGUAUACGAAAACACUAUUUCUCAAAUCCUAACUUUAUCUAUCCUGCCAAAAUCUCCCCUUCGUAUUCAACCAUUAUAAAAAUACAAUACAUGCAUUUCAUGAAAAGUAGAUACUUGGUACAUGACAUAAAGUACGCCACAUAAUCCACACCAUGCACUAUCAUUCUAGGAUCAUUUUUACAAGUACUCAUAUAUUAAUAAAAACUUAUGCAUUCACAGCAUGCUCAGUCACAUUUUUGCACACAGCGAUAUACUCAACAACCUAGAAUAGUCACAACACAAAAUCAUUCAAUGACUCAAUCUCAUCAACCAUCCAAAAUAGAGUGAAAAACUCACCUUGCUUCCUUAUUCUUGAUGGCUUGGCUUAUCCAAAUGCUAAAGCCUCCUUUGUCUUGGCAGCUAGGCAUAACAACCAUUUUUUUGAUUAACUCAAAGGCAUUCAAACCUUAAGACCCAAAAUCCAUAAUUAUACAGAAACUUGUAAGAGUCCUUACUCUACUUCUGCCUUUAAUCCACGAGUACAGAGAGAUAAUGAAACUUACCAAUUCCUCAAAUUUCCUAUUCCCAUACAUAAAUUCUCACGAAAAUUGAAUAUGCAGGGCUUUCUUCAGCUACCUCCUCUUCUACCUCUGAGAGAUCCAAGAAGAUGGUGUUACAGCAAGAAAAUUUGGUAAACAAAAUUGAGAAAAAUUUUCUCUUCCACACACCUACAUAUAUAUAUAGCCAAAGUUGGCAUGGUCUUCUUAGCCCUUUAUAGCCAAUCACUACUAAUCAUUUUGUCUACCACUAUGAAAUCAGCCAAUUCCAUCCUAACCGAACAAGAAUUGAUAUCCAACUAAUCACAACUCGGCAGAUAAAAUUUCUGAAUUUCCUAAUGGAGCCUGAAAAAUUACUAAUCCUUUCAAUUUAAUCUUAACUUUCCUUAAAUCUUUGGUCAAUAAAGAUAACUGGGUGUUACACGUUUUACUAUAGUUCUAUCAGACGAUACUCAAUCGAUUGGAAACAGAAACUAAUUUGUGAAUUGGAAAACGAAAUGGUAAUUAUUAAUGUUUGUUGAGUGGUUGAUUACAUAAUUCCAUUAAAGUCUCGGUGUUACUUAUGAUUUGAAAAUUUAACUAACAUAUUUAUUUGGUGAUGAUGUUACAUGUUAGUUAUAUUAAUGUUCCAAAGGAUUGCAAAAUUAAACGUCAAUUUGUUUAGUUUACUAUGCCUUAAAUGAUCAAAGUAUGUUUUAAAUUUCCAUUUUAAACUUACUAAGUAUUUUAAAUUCUUAUCUGUGUUAUUUUUCUUUUCUGUAGAUUUCCACCUUGAGGAAUUGUUGGGCUAGAUUAGUGGAAGAGCACGCACUAUCCUAAGACGGUAGUUAUAUGUUCAUUUUGAGUUUAAACUAUGUGGCAUGUAUAUAAGGGUUCUUAAAAUGCUUACGGUCAUUUUGAAGUUAGUGGUAUUAUGUUAAUUGUGGUGAUGUUGGAUGUUGGAUAUACCAUUUGGUAUAUAAGCCUAUAUUGCUGGUUCCCAAAAAUGUACAAGUGUACACAAUCGUUAAUAAGUAAUAAAGUGAUAAGUAUCGAGUAUCGUCUCCACAGGGGCUGUAUAGGCAAAUGUUGUGAAAUAAGACUUAGCAAAUUGGUAGUGAAAAUAAUUAAGGAUGAUUUAGACUAACUACUCUGUUUUAACUAAAAAUUACCCAAGUAAAAUUAAAUGAAAGGAAAAAAUAGAAAAAGUAACAAUUCACAAAACAAAUCUCAAUGAGAUAAAUAUGUUAGAUUAAUCAUAUUCUUUAACUAUGAAAUAUUAAAAUCAAGCAAUGAUGUUACGAAAAAAUCCACGGCAACUCGACCAUUCACUAACCCAUGAAAUCAUAAUUAUUAAAUUAUUAAAUUUUUCUAACAUUAGUCUAUGUUAAAUCAACUUAGUAAUUUUCUUAAGCAAUCAUUCAUACUAAGUGAGGUAACAAAAUAUUUAUAUAUUAAAACAGCUUAAUCACAUUAAUUAUAGGGUUAUGCAAGGUAAUAAAGUUUUCAAUAUUAUUACUACUUUGACUUAAUUUACCAUAAAUAAGACCAAACAUGCACCAAUCAGAUAGUGUGUCAAUUAAUUACAAUCUUGUUCUGAUUAAAUAAUUGAUUCAGUUGCACCCACAUAUUCAUAAUGCACAGAUAACAUGUCAUGAUUUUAUCUGACUGAAUGAACAACCAAGGCACAUAACAUCAUUAACAAAAUUUUAACAAAACUAAGAUAAAGAACAUAAUCAAUCUAACAACAAUAAAUUUAAUUCGUUAUGAUUAAGUUGAAAAUAGAAAAAUAUUUGACAAGCAUGUUCAUCAGUGCAAAACAAAAUAAAAGUAAAAAAGAACAAGAACAAGAAAACAAAUUCAGUGUUUUUAUGCUCAUGUUCCUUUUCUUCUUUCUUUCUUUAUACUUCACUCACCUUGCACAAAUCUCCUUAGGAAUGCCAAAAUUUUUCUGCCCAAUAUGCCUUGGAAUUGUUUUUCUCGACUUUCUAUGUUUUUCUCUCAAAUGGGAAGUAGGAAAAUGGGAAAGAGGAGAAGAGAACAUGUGUGAGUGAAUGAUGUAAUAAGUGACCAGCUAAGGGCCUAUUUAUACAUAAGGGGAGUGGUUAUUUUUAGCAAAUUGAAUCCUUGAAAAUCUUCCCCCCAUGGUCGGCCUUUGCUUUAAGGGAAGGGUGUUGAUGGCUUUGCUAUUUUUAGCUUGGCGCAUGAGAGAGGAAGCUUGAAAAGAUUAGGGGUUUGAAUGACAAUAUGAGGAAGUUUUGUAGUUGUUUUCUAAAUAUUUUAAUCAACCUUGGAUGGCUGAUUUGGGCUCCUUGAUGGACAGUUGGGCCUCUCUCCCUUAAUGGACAAUUUUGGGCUAUUAUCUCCUUAGCAAAUUGUCAAAUUUCUCUACCCAAUUUCUGAGUUUGGUCAAGCAUGUCCCAUGACCCAUUAAUCCCUUAAUUGGGUUGUCCAAAGCUGAUUUUUAAUUAGCUCUCCUCUACAUGGCUUGUGCUUUAAGGAUGCUACAAUAUUUGAGCUCCAAAAGGUGACAUUCAAGAUUGCCCUUUCUUUUAAUAUACCAAACUGCUUCAAAUUAGAAAAAUUGUGUAAGUUUAGCAUAUAAAUAAUUAAAAAUAGAGAUGUGUUUUUGAUUUUUUUCCAAAUUAGAUAUUAUGUAAUAAAAUUACAAAAAUCUGAUAAAAACACUAGAAAUUUGCAUGAACUAUUAAUCAAAAAAUGCUAAAAAAAUGUCUAUAUGUUUUGGAGUUAUCAAUUGCAUAUUUUGGUUAAGUUCGAUGAUAUAUGAAUGAAGAUUCUUCUUUUGAAUGGCAUGGCAUGUUAAGCUAUUGAUUAAGUUAUUUGAAUUGGUUAAGUUGAUUAAUUUCUUGGAAAUGGUAAGAUAAAGGUUAAGUCAUAUAAUUUAGUAUAGGUUUUGAGUAACUUAUGUCAAAUUCUUGAAUUGAUAGUUUCCAAUUGGUCAAAUGAUUAUGCUUUAACUGGAAUUGAAAGAUUUGUGAUAUGGAUAGAUGAGAUGGAUAUUCAUAUGCUUAAAUGUUCAAUGAUUAGUUUGUAAAUUAUAGCAUGGUUGGUUAAUAGGUUAAGUAUAUACUUGAAUUGGUAGUCAUUAUUUUGGAUUAAUGUUCAAAGAUAUACACGUUUGGUUAAGUAUAUACUUGAAUUGGUAGUCAUUAUUUUGGAUUAAUGACUUUGUAAUUGUGAAUGAUUGAAUGAAUAUACUUAAAGAAUGGCUUGUAUAUCUUUUAAUUAGGCACUAAAUGUGUACUUUGCUAAAAACAGAGACAACGUCACGACCACAGAUUCUCGACAUCAUAACGUCGCCAUUUCAAUGAGUAACGUCAUGAAGAGCUUUUGCAUGUAAUCGUAAAGUGAGAUACUAAGAUGACCAUGUUGCGGCGAGAAAAUGGUGAAGUCGCAACAUCAGAUCGAGACUUUGAAAGCUUUACAAUUUGGUCUUAAUUCACUCUCGGGUUAAUAAAAGAGCUGUCAUAAGCUCGUAUAGGACCCUUAAUUUAUUGUACAGUAAUAAAAGAAAGUGUAUUACUGUAACUGUUUUGAGUAAUUGAUUAUAUAUCACAUAAUUGACUGCAGUUGGUUCGAUAACAAAUGUGGCAUCUAUGGCUCGAACUCGUCAAUCAGGUUAGGCAAAGAGUGUUACACAAGAAGCCAAUACAAUGUUACAUCAAGUUUAAUGAUACCAAAAAAUCUUUUGGUUUUCAAGAAAACAUCAUUGAUCAAUGUAUCUGUACCAAAAUAUCAGUGGGAGCAAGUUUAUUUUCUUAGUUCUAUAUGUUGAUGAUAUCUUUCUUGCUGCAAAUUAUUUACGCAUAUUGUGUGAGAUAAAAGCUUUUCUCGAUUAGCUUUGAAAUGAAAGAUUUAGGAGGGAUAUUCUAUAUGGUAUAGAUUGUAGUAUUUCAUGAUAGGUAAAAAAGGUUGUUAAGAUUGCCUCAAAAAACUAUCUCAAAAGAGUUCUAAAAAAAUUUAAUAUGCAUAAUUGUUUAGUAAGAAUUGUUCCUAUACAAUAAGGGGACAAAUAUAAUCUUAUGCAAUAUCCAAAAAAUGAUGUGGAACAGAAAGGAAUGAGAUAAUUUAUUUACAUUUGUGUUUUGGGCUGUUUGAUAUUGCUCAAAUCUAUACAAGACCCAGUAUUAGGUUUGCAGUAGGGAUGUUCAUAGAUAUCAAAGUAAUCCUGGAAUUGAUUAUUGAAAGGAUGGAAAGAAAGUUUUACAAUACCUACAAUGAAAAAAAAAUUACAUGCUCGUGUAUAAGAGAUCUAACCAGUUGGAAGUGAUUGGAUAUUUGGAUACAAAUGUUGGUUGAUGUCUUGAUAGUAGAAAAUCUACUUUUGGCUAUUUAUUUUUACUUGCCGAAGGAGUCAUGUCAUGAAAAAGUGGUAAACAAUAUGCCAUUACAUCAUCUAUGAUGGAAGUAGAGUUUAUGGCAUGUUUUGAGGUCACUAUUCAAGCAUUAUGGUUGCAGAACUUUAUUUCAAGACUUGAUGUUGUUAGCACCAUUAUUAAGUCAUUAAAAUUUAUUGUGAAAAUUCUACAACAAUAUUUUUCUCUAAGAACGAUAAAUAUUUCCAAGGUAUAAAAUAUAUGGAACUAAAGUAUUUGCCACUAAAGAGGAAGUUUAGAAAUAAAUAGUGUCUAUAAAGCAUGCUAGAAUUGAUCACAUAAUUGCAUAUUUAUUAACUGAUGCCUUACAACCAAUGACAUUUAAAAGAACAUUUACAUAAAAUUGGUCUUACUUGUAUGGAUGGAUUAUAUUUUAUGAUAAUGGCACUUUGAGCUCAACUAUUGCAUUUAUUUUAUUAAUUUUACUUCAUGUUUAUUAGAAUUGUGUGUGCAUAAUUUUUGAAAUUAUUUAAAAUAGAAAAUCUUUAUAAGAUAUUAUUGUGGUCAUAGUGUGAUAUGUUUAUUAUUUGAAGACCUAUUAUAUUGAGUUGUAAUGUCAUAGUAUAUGGAAGGAGAUAUGUGACUUAAACUAUAUACAAUCAUCAUAACUCACAAUUGCAAUUAACUAUAAUAUGGUAAUAAUGAAGAAUAUUAUGUUUUACUAUGCACACUUAAUGUUUGUGCUAUUAAAGUUUAUGUUUUAUCACAUUGGGUCAAAUUAGAGAACAUAAGAUUUUAGCUCAAAUUUAUUGACCCAAUUAAAUUAAAAAUCAAGUGGCCCAUUUUAAAAUGAUUAAAUUGUUUACUUUAAUAGAAACUAAAGUCUAUCCUUCAUUUAGUUACUUGAAGGAUGUAUUAAAUUAAAAGUUGAAUAUUAUAAAUUAAUUCUCUUUUAAUAGAUUAUACUGAAAAUAAAAGACUAAUAAAAAAAUUAUUGUCUCUAUAGUUAGGGUUUGUGUAACAAAAGGAAAAGAUCAGAGAAAUUAAUUUAUUGUAAUGUUGUUCUUCAUCAAAUCCAAUGUCUAACUCCAAUUUUACAUUAAAUAAUUUUAUAUGCAAUUGCAUAAUAUUAAAUUUAAAUAUUUAAAAAUUUGAAAAAAAAAAUCAAAUACAUUUGAUUUUUCUAAUAAAGAUACGUUUGAAUUUUGGAUAACAAAAACUAGUGCGAUUUGAUACUAAUGUAGAUACGUGUUCGAUAGCAGGAUUUGAGUGACAUAGAAAAGUUUGCACCCACAGGAAAAGGGCUCAACCAUUAGAAUAAUAGCAAGGCUAAAGCCAUUAAGGAUCUCAACCAGUAAUUAAAGACGUAUUCACUAGGAUUACAGGAUAUUUUGAGUGGCAUAAUUAUUACAUACUUGGAUUACCGGAAAAAGAAAGCCAAAAUCAUGAUUAAUAUCGGAAUAAUUAGAUGGCCGACCACUAAAAAAUCACACGUCAAAUGGAAUCAUGGCAUAGAUGUGUACAUUAAUUAGUUUUAAUGGCAGGUGCUUUCUAGGUGAUAUUAUAAAAUUAUAAUAUGAUAAUUAAUUAUUAUUUUUAUAGAAAUAUAAUUAAAAUCAUUCAUUAUAUUAUAUUAAUACAAUUUUUUUUUAUAAUUAAAAGAAGGCGUUAAGGCCUUAAGUUCUACCAGAACCUUACAUAAUUGGUACCUCUUUUAUCACUCAUAAUUAUUGAACGUCAGGAAAUGGUCUUCAAAAACCUCUAAGGCGUCAUCUUUCCCAGCGGGUUUGGUUCACAGAGGCGUUUUUGGCCUAAGCUUUCCCCCUUUCAUACUUGCUGCCUGGUUUAAGCUUUGCUGGGGAUUGUAUUGUCCUUAUCACAAGGUGAGAUAUCAGUUGCUUUUGCUUUGCACUUAUGAAGAGCAUUACCUUUUGGGAACCAAUUACUGGAAUCUGUAAAGGUAUUGAGGAUGGAAGUAUCCUACCUAAGAUCUUGUUUUGAUUUUUGAGUCUUGAAUUCAUGUCAAAGUUAGGGUUGGGUUUGAGGUUAGAUUUUAAGGUUUUUGAAAUCGAGUUAGAAAUGAAGUAUUCUUAUCGGGAUAAUAUUUAAUGUAUUGUCUGAAUUUUAUGCAGACACCUUAUUACUGUGUAAAAUAAUAUUAUUAGUUUUUAUUUUAUACAGUGAUGAGAUGUAUUAACCUUAUUCAUUGAUAAUAUAUAAAAUUCGUACAUUAAUAGUAUAUUAAAUACUAUUCUUUUUAACCAAGAUAAAUAUAUCUGUCAGGAUUGACCCGAUUAAACAACAAGUAAAGAAAAUAGUGGAAUAAAUUGAAAUUUUGAACACACAAAUUUAUCAUGGAAAGAUCCUUCCAAAGAUGAUAAAAAAUCACGGGAAAAGAUAAUUUUACUAUAAUGGCAAAAGAACGAAAAGUUCAAAAGAUGGAGAUAAAAAACUAAACCCCGAAAAACCCAAAAAUAAAGUACCCUCAAAACGUAAAUACAAAAUUCUCUAAAUGUAUUAUGAGUUCUAAUCUCUAGUGGGUGUGUUUUCUAAGGUUGUAAAAGAACUUAUUUAUAGGCUAAAUUAGUAGGUCAAAUAAACUAUGCUAAUAAAUGUUAAAUAUAUUAUAUUAAUAUAUACUAAAUCUUCUAGAAAGAAAAUAUACUUUGCUUAACUUAACUUGCAAAUAAUCUCUUAGAAUUUGGAUCACACAACUCUAACAAUAUCAAUAAAAUUUUGUUAAAAAAAAACUAAAGAAAAAAUAGUGAUAACAUUUUAACAAAUCGAGAAAGAAAAAGAACGCAAUCUUGGGAAUCAUCAAACUUGAUAUACAUUCUUCUCAUCCUACAUCAAAUCAUUUCUUGCAUAUGGAAACCAAUAUUGAUUAUAAACAUCUUGUAUUUCAGAAGUUAGUUUGUAAGAUGGGGAGUCUAAUAAGUGUAUAAGGUACAUUAAGAUAAACGAGAUAAACACCUGAGAGGUUUUUGGAGUCGAAGUUAAGAUAUUCAUCGUUAAUAGCAAUGAUUAAUUUUUUUUGUUGUGGAACUGUGAGACAUCGUAAGAGUUUUGAUACUCUUUCUUAAUUGAUAUAUGAUGAAAAGGAAUAGAAAAGAUUGUUGAAUAGAAUAGACAAAAAUACUAACUUAGAAGACAGAAAAAAUUUAAUCAUAACCAUUACUUGUUAAAGGAAAGUGGUUGCUCAAAUUGGCAAAACUGAAUUCUAUUUUAAAAGCAAAUUUGGCUUAUGGCUAUGCCCAUUAGCUAGUGUUUAUUUUUUAUAUAUUAUAAAAUAUUAAAAAAAUUAUAAUUAAAUUUAAACAAAAUAAAUUUGAUUUUAAAUCAAUCAUACUGAUAUAAAGUAAAAAUUAAUUUAUCCAAAUCCAACUUAGAUGGAAUUAAGUCCAAAGGAUAGAAUGAACCAUAAAUAGUUAUAUUUGUAAGAUUGAAAAUCUAACAAUAAUGCAAGUCACACUCAACUAUAAAAGGCUUACAAUGUAAGGCUUUUGACACAGGUUGGGCCCUUACCAUUCAUUGUUAGACUCUAACUACAUAAGGAUUUAGACAUAUUGGAUGACACAGAUAGCAUAUUUCCUAAGAUAUAGUAUAUGCCUACACAAUCAAAGGUUAAGUAGAUCUAGAAGAGAAUAAUAUUUGUAUUUUCAGAAACAAAAAUGAUUAGAAUUGUGGCCAUUAAAUCAAGAGACCUCUCCUUUAUUUGCAGAAACAACGUUUGUAAAGACCCACUAAGACAAUGCAAAGCUUUGGUGAAUGGAGUUUAAAGGGGUUUCAGCAUUUUGCUUAAUGUUGUCAUUUCAUUGAAUAUUCGAGCACUUCGUUACUCUUCUCGUACCCACUGUCUCUAUACUGAGGCCCACCAGAUCAUAAACUUCUGGUUUAUAAUGCAGAUACGUACUUCUGAUUGAAAGUGUAGCCUUUGCACCCUUAGCUUAAUAGGGGCUUAGCAAGAGAGAGAAAUUACGACAUUCCAGAUGCAGUUGGAAUUUGGGUUUUUGGACCUCAAAUAAAAAUUAAGAAUGCAAAAAUCUCAAUAAUAUUUUACCGUCUAAAGUUUGAUUCUAGAACUUGCAACAGAAGCCACUUGCUUAAUAGUUGAAUGAAUAUAUAAUAGCCAAGCAAUAUAUAUGCAUAUAUAUAUAUAAGAGUAAACUUCAAAACUGCCAUAGUUGCAAACCUAAAAUGAAAUAUUUACAAUUUAGCCAUUCACGAUAUAUAGUUCGCAUGAGUAAUUGUAGUUAUUAACCAUCGAAUUUAAUCAACUCUCAAAUUUGAUUAAGGAAUGUGUUUUUUAUUCAAUAAUUUUUUUUUCUCUUUAUCCCUUUAAUCUUUUCUAUUAUUGUUCUUAUUAGUUUAUAUUAUUAACUAAUGUUUGAUUUAAAUUUGGAUAUGAACUAAUCACCUAAGCGGUGGUGAAGUAAUUGUAGGUGAAUGUGUAGGUUAAAGAUUGGUGGUAUAGAUAAGGAAUAAAUCGAGAGAAAGUAAGAUAAGAAGUUAGCUUAACCUUAGUGAUCUAAUUGAAUAGUUACCCAACUUAUCAAGAUAAACAUCAAUUGUGAAGCCACCUAUAAUAUAUACACCAACUUAAGUAGCGAGUGUCGAUGAAUUUAACUAGUUCCUAAAAACUAUACACCAACUUAGGAGUUUUGUACAACAACUCAAGUAUCAUCAAUGACCAUCUUAACUAACUGAAGAUUAACUUCACCGCCAGCAUAGCAACUCGAUUACUUUGUAAUUCGUUUUGUUUAUUUUAUUGUUUGAUUUUACUUCAUUAAACUCAAUCUUCCUAUAGCUACCUUAGAUAAUUUCAUAUUAGUAAUUAGUAUUUUUUUAAUUAUUUAAGUUGUAUUUAGUUUAAUUAUAUCAAUCCUCAAAAUACUUUUAAUUCAUUAGAUUUAUUUUGUUGUAAUUUGUUACUUUGUAAUGAGCUUUAAAACUAUUAAUUUAUUUUGUUACACGCUAGUUUUCUUUGAUGUCACAAGCUUUUUAUAUAAAAAUAUUUAAGAUAAAUUUUAUUAUUAAGUUAUUUAGUUAAAAUAUUGUCAAACAUUUUCAAAGCUUUUAAAAUAUUCAAAAACAUGUUUCAAAUGCUUUUAAGCCAUUUCCAAAUUGUUUCAAAGGGUUUAAAAUGUUUUUAAAGAAAAUUGGAGUUUAAGUAUUGAUAUUAAAGGUUUAGGUAUCAGCACAUUGCAAGUCAGUAGCCAAAGAACAAACUAGAGAGACAUAAUCUCGAUACUUAGCUUUUUAUAACGGCUAGUUUUUAUGGUUAGUAUUGAUUUUAAAAGAGUAUAGAAACCCUUAAUAUAUUUGAACCAAUUUUAUCUAAUUACUCUACCAUUCCAUAUUUGUCAAGUGUUUUCUAAUAUUUAACACAUACAUUUUAUUAUUAACAAAAAAAAAAAAGGAGUUUGAGACAAAUCCAACGUUGAAGAAGCCAUAAGAGAGCAAAGCAAUGAUAGGUUGGUCACUACAGUUGUCAUUGUAUUGUUUUUGUUCAUAUGAAUAAUUAAUAUGUAGAUCUCCUUCAACAAUUUUUCUUGGGAUUAUUUUAUUUUUUAUGAUUUUGUAUGUUCUUAUAUUUUUAUAUUUGUUAUAAUUUUUAUAUAUUUUGAAUCACUCUUAUAAAAAUUUAUAAUUUUUAGAUAAUAUUUCAUUAUUUUUUAACAAUCGUGUUCAAAAUGAAUUUUGCCAUAUUCAAAUGAAUAUAGACAUGUAUUUGUCUAGGUUAAUUUGAACAUUUAUUUUUAAAAAAAUAUAUUAAGUUUUAAGAUUUUUUAUUUUUUUAUUUUUUUUAAAUAUGUGGCAUGCCACAUGCCAACUUUUCAUUGUUUUCAUUAAUAUUCGUUAACGAUCAAACCAAUUAAUAAUGAUUUCCGUUAACAAAAGGAUUUUAUUGAUUUUCUAAAAGUUUAAUUAAGUGCACUUUUUCUAUAAUAGCUUAAUUGAUUUUUCAAUUUUUUACUAAAAGAUAUUUUUAUCAUUUCAUAUGCUCUAAAAUAAUUAUUGUAUAAAAUAUAACUUUUUAAACUUAAAUUAUAUUUAAGAGCAAUUGUUUGUAAAUACUUCAAUCCUUACCUUUUUUAAGAAUCGAAAAGUGUAGGCGAAAUGCUCCCACUACUACGAUAUUCAACUAAAUGAGAUGCAUUAAUUACCAAAAAUGUGACAAAGGUUGCUGUGCUUGAAGUGUGGGAUGUUUGGUUUGAACCUUAGACGGCUUUAUCCUUCUAAAAAUGUACAGGAAAUUAUGGGUCGAGAAGUUCAAUCAAUAAUGGAUCGCAUCUUAUAAGAGUAUGAUAUAUAUUGUUUAUCUUGUUAGAUAACAUGUUAGCGAAUAAAUAUAAAUAUAUAAAUUUAUAUUAAAUAGAAGAUCUGAACAAAUAAUAUAAACAAAUGGUUAUAUUUAUGUAAAACAUCAUAUUUAAACAUACAAAUUAAAUAAAUAUUUAUAUUUAAUUAAAAUAUUAGAUUUGAAAACAAUUAAAUAAACAAGAUUUUGAAAAACCAGAAAUUCAAUAAGGGAAUCGAGUUUUACUAGAUGUUGAGGCCUGUUUUCACAGUUUCUUAAGACAGAUUCAGCCACUCCUAUGAUACUUAGAGAAAUAUUGAUCGUCUGUCUCUUAAGAUACAACAAUAAAAUGAUCGCAGCAGUAAUACCUCUGCAGUGAUCAACGAACAAACGUUGCAUUCUUCUAUCGUCGAAACGUUUGAAAAAUUGGAGAGAAAAAGAAAAGAAUUUUUGAGAGAAAUAAAUUCGUUGUAUCUCUCAGGAAUUCUACAAUAUUCUUUAGGCUUUUAUAAGCAUUCAAUGUGGAGGAAUUUUGGAAAUUUUCAUGAAUAAAGAUAUAAAUCUGCGUUAAAAGAGUCUUUGAAUCAAUUUGAUUGGAAUGUUGAGAGAAAAAAAUUCAUAUUGAACUAAAAUAUCCAUAUUUGAGCCCAAUCGUCUAAACAUUUUGCAUCUCGCCCACAUGCAAAAUAAGAUUUCAAGUUUGGUCAUCUAAUAACCUUUAAGUGAGUUUUCAUAUAUACACAUAUCUCACACUUGGUAUUUUAUCAAUGUGGGAUCUAAGCUUUUCUUUUCCUCAACAAAUAUUCACAAAUGGCUUAUUUUGUGCAUCAAUUUCUCAUUCAUCAUUUAACUAUUUUGAGCAUAUGAUAUACAGUUGUAAAGAUCUCGUGGAGUAAAAUAUAAAACUAUAAUUUUAUGAUUCAACUCUCCACCUUUACCAAUCAAGAAUAUACCUCAACGCUUUCAAAAAUUACAAUUUCUCCAACCUACUUUACUGACUGCAGUAACUUAACUUUAAAGUUUCAAACUUAAGAGCUCAUUCCUAAGGUCGCAUAAAGUGAUCCCAAGAAUGGUUCACUUGUUUGAGUUAAAAGGAUUAAAAUAAUUGCAGUUAGUGCAUAAAUAAUUGCAGUUUAUCGCUUCCGAUGGUGUUUUAUAUUUCUUUUUUCUUUUGAUUUUCAUAGAAUGCUGCACUAGUUUCAAUAGAAGAGGCUGAAACAACUGAUGAUGCUUGUUAUUUGGAGUUGAAGCAACUAUUGAACGACCAGGCUAACCUGGUUUGACAAUUCAAGAUGGUGUUUUAUUUUCAUGCCUUUUAGUUAGUUGGUAAUUAUGAUGCCAUAACACUAAAUCAAUCAAGAGUAAUUACAAAGUAUCUGUUUACGGCAUAAUUUUUACGUGGAAACUCCUUUAUGGGUAAAACUCAAAGUUCAUGAAGAAGCUUCACUAUUGAUCACAAUGAGCUUAUAAUUCUACUUACCUAUCAUCAACAGCUGAUUGCAAAACACGAGAAAGUUGAGAAUUUCGACCAAUAGAGACCGACUUUCAAGCCAAAGAUCCGCAAGCUACGAUACUAGAUAACAAAUCUAACCAUGCAAAAAUAACAUCCACGAGCCCUCUCUGCAAACAGUAAAGACAUGAUAUGAAAGACAAGAAAAAUAUAUAACAUCAGCACGAGGGGGGGGGGGUGGAGGGGUUCUUAUAUCUUGAUGUAAUUAGAUAAUAGUGAAGACUAGUAAUUGUUGAAUCAGUAGGGAGAUUGAUUCUUACUCUUUUCUUUCAAUAAACUGAGCUUUCAUGUGGGAAUCAGAAUUUACUAAUUCAACCAACCAAAUUAUGUUUUAAGAUAUAUGGUCACAUUUAGAACUCUUGGAGAAACAAGUUAACUAACCCUCUUCGUAAAGCAUUUAGUCCUUUAUUUUGUAGGCCAGAAGAAAGCAAAAUCCACAUAGAGAUUCAACAUGCUUGUAUUUCCAUAAGCAGAUUGUAAUUGUAAAUCUAUUGACCUUAACAUUAGGCAUUUUGUUGUACAAGUAAAUUUGGAAAUACCUGAAAAAGCGACUCUUUUUAAUAAGCAAUCAUCUGCAAAACCUUUAUACUCUACUUUUUCGCACCUUUUAAUUUCAGCAUUUGGAAAGCUUUGAAUUGAAAUAAUCAUUUUCUCAGAGUUUCUCCGGAGAAUGAAGAUAUUCUGGUAUACGACCCAACAUCACAGGGCAAUUCUCAGUAAGGAGCUCACCAAGUCUUGGGAAUUUCCUUGUCGAAACCAUUCUUAUGAAAACAAAAAUUUAGUUGUCGACUUUUAAAAAAAACAAAAAUUGGGAGUCGCCACCAAUCUUUUAUUGAGGUGUGAUUGGAUCAUCUAAAAAAAUAGCUUUGGCCUACGAGUUAUAGAAAAUCGGAUUCGGGAGUCAGUUACGUACGAGGAAGGAUUAGCACCCUCAUAACGCCCAAAAAUUGGUACCAAAUUGAUUAAUUAAUGUCUUCAAGUCGAGAGUUAAAAAAAUGCGAUCCUUAAUUAAAUUAUUUAUUAAGACUUUCUCAUUUUGAAAAAAAAGAAAAAUAUCACACCCAAUGCGUUAGGGCACAACAUUUUAUUCUCUUCAAGAUGAGUUAGUCCAGAAAACUCGUGUAAUAAAAUUUAAGAAAAUAUCUAAUUGUUUAAAAUUUAUGAAGAAAUCGCAGUCCAAUACGUUAGGGCACAAUUUCCUAAAAUCUCAAACAUUCAAUAUUUCCUUUAUUUUUCUUAAAAUAUCCUUGUCUCGAGAAAUCAACGUGUCACAUCCAAUACGUCAAGACACAACAUAUUGAAUUCCCGAUGACAAGUUUUAUUUUGUUUGAUUAAAGAGCAAUUCUCGAUUGUUAGAUUUAACGAAGAAAAUCGGAACCCAAUACGUUAGGGCUCAAUCUUCUCGAAAAUCCUAAAUACGAGUAUUAUCUCUAUUUUGAAAAAUUCCAUUUUUAAAUUCGAGUAAAAAGAUGACGUAAUGUUAUGUUGAAUGUAUGAAUUGAUGCCUCUUAAACAAAUAUCAAUAAUAAAUACAACAAUUGCAUAGAAAUAAUAUGAAUAAAUAAAUAAAUAAAAAUAAUGACAUGCAAAAUAUCAAAUAAAUGAGUAAAAUAAUAAUAAUAAUAAUAAUAAAAUAUGAAAACAUAAAUUGAUAAACAAACGAUUGAAAUAAACAAAAAAAAAAACAUAAAGAAUAAGAGACACAUAACAUAUACAUUGAAAUUAUGGAGAAAAAAAACAAACACAUGAUUUACAUAUAAAAUUUUGAAUUAUAAAAUUUAUAUAAAUAUAUAAUGCAUUUAUGAAAAUAAAGAAAAGUAUAUAAAUAUACAUGUAAUAAGGUCCAAUCGGCCUGGGUCCGAACAAAAUAAAUAAACAGGCCUGCCAAACUAAAACUAAGCCCAACAGCCAAUUUUAACCCUAGCUCAACAAAAUCAUUUGCUGAAACCCUAAGAACCUCCAUACGCUUUAGCCGCCGCAGCCUCUAUGCCUCUAGCGAGUGCCCAGUCACGGCAAGACUAGGAGAUGGCCCUUUCCACGCGCGCUGUACACACCACGAUACCUGCAAAAACGGACUCAAUGAGCCCGAAGGAGAAAAACAAGCAGAAAAUAAAUUUGAUUUCUUUUUCUUUUUCGGCCUAUAAAAGGCCACUUUCAAUAUGUAAAAAGGGAGAGUGUAAAGAAAGACGAAAAUAGAGAGAAAUACUGAGAUUACAAAGGAAUUUUGUUUUUGAAGGUGAAUCGUGUUUAUUUUUUUUAUUUUUUUCUCUAUUCUUUUUUUUUAUUUAUUUUUCAUUUAAACAACAAAGAAAAGAAGGAAGGAAAACUUACUUUUCGUCGGAGUCGCCGUGCCACCACCAUCCCCGUCGCAAAUCGGAGCUUUGGUGAAGGCAUAGGGCUGAAUGGCGGCGCAGAGAAUAGGUCAAUAAAAACCCUAGCAGACCAUUGUUUUUUAAAAAAAAAAGAAGCAGAAUUGUUUUAAUUUUUUUUAGUUUUGUAUCUUAAAGAAGGAACAAAAAACGGCGCAGUUUUAAUGGCCAGAUCCGUGCGUUCUGCCCUGAAUGGGGGAAAUUGCGCAAUGGGUCCCUCCCUUUUGCAAUGCACUUCAAUCAAACAUAUUUUACCUUUUUUUUAAAAAUGGGCCGCAUAUUUUAUUUUCGUUUCAAUUUGGUGCCCCGCUGCGCAGCGUUUUGGAGGGUGGGAUUAAUUUCCCUUUUAGUCCCCCAUUGUCGUUCGCACGUUCAAGUUGGUUCUUUUUUAUUUAUUUUUGGAUCUACCCAAUUUUUUCGUCUUUAAUUCAAUGUAGUCCAUUUUUUUGAGCUAUUUUACUUUUUUUUGUUAUUAUUAUAUUAUACCAUUAUUAUUUAUUAUUAUUAAUAUUACACUUUUUUUUCAUGAACAUACAUGCAUUUUUAUAUGGCACAUGUACAUUUUAAUUUCAAAAACGUUUUGCUUUUGUAAAUAUAUAUCAAAAAACGUUUUACUUUUGUAAAUAUAUAUAUGUAUAUUUCUAUAUAUUUUUAUGUAUAUUAUUUUUCUUUAUUUUACAAAUGUAUAUAUAUACAUGCACAUUUUGAAAUACACAUGCAUUUUCCAUAUUUUAUAAUAAAUAAAAUACAUUCAUUUUCUAUAAUAUAUAUCUUUUUUUUGUAUAUUCUUAACUCAUUACAAGCUUUUAUUGUUUUAUACGUUUCACUAUUCUAUACAUAUUGUACAUAUAUGAGUAUUUAAAUACAUACAUAUUUUCAUGAUUUACUUAUGUACUUAUACAUGUUUUGUAAAUAUAUACACAUAUGCAUACUUUUUAUACUCUUAUUUUGUUUUCACAAUUUUCAUAUACAUAUAUACAUGUAUUUCUAUUUGUUUUUAUUCGAUGUAUUUCAUUCCUUCUUUUUGUUUGCAAAUUUACUUGUAUAUUAUACUUGUAUAUAUAUUGGCAGAUGUUUAUUUAUAUAUGCUUGAAAUUAGAAUAUUGGUUUCAUGUUAUACAUUAACCCUUUUUAGCAUAUCUUUUCAAAAAAUGUAUAUUUUGGUUUUGUCAAAGUGUUAAAAUCAUCACAUUUUAUAAAUUUUUAAAAUAUUUGGUACUCAUGAUUCUCGAGAAAGAUCGUAUCUUAACUUACUGGAUUGUGAUUAUUUUUCGAUGAAUUUAGAAAACCAAGUAUUCAUUUUGCAUUAAAUUCGCAAAUUUUAAAUAAAAGCUUAUUCUUGGGAGUUCAAAAAUGUUGGUCCUAACUUACUGGUCCUGAUAUUUUGGCUUCUCGAAAUAAGAAUUUUCAAAAGCAAAAGGCAAUAUUCGAAUAUUUUGAAGAUUUAAAAAUAUUGUGCCCUAACUUACUGGGUGUGGUGUUUUAUUUAUUUGAAAUAAGAAUGUCAUGUUAUUUUGAUUCAUUCAUGAAAUAAAAAGUCUUCUUUUAAAAUCUUUUCAAAUUUUUGACACCAAGGCAUUAAAGAAUCAAUUUGGUACCGAUUUUGGGCGUUGCGAGAGUGCUAAUCCUUCCUCGUGCGUAACUGACUCCUGGACUCAUUUUCUCAAAUUUCGUAGACCAAAAUCAUUUUAAGGUGAGCCGAUCACACCUUAAUAAAGGAUCGGUGGCAACUCCAGUUUUUUUUUUAAGUCGACAACUAAAAUUUUUGUUUUCAAAAAACAGUUUCGACGGUUCAAUUUUAGUUGUCGACUAUACAUAUAUACAUAAAUUAUAAAAUAUGUGUUAAAAAUAUAAAUAGGUAGUUAAACAUUUUUUGAAAAUAAAUAAAAACAUAGAUGUAUACACAUAUAUAUAAAUAUAAAAGAAUAUUCAUAAAAAAUGUAUACAUGUACAUAUAAAAUAUAUAUAUAGGUUUAAAAUAAUUAAAUAAUAUCUACAUUAUCAAAACUAAUUAAAAAUAUGUGUAUAUAUAUAAAUAUGCGAAAAAUAUUAGUUUGAAAAAAAGUAUAAAUACAUACAUAAAAAUAAAUAUACAUAUAUAUAGAUAAAAUAAUAAUAAUUACAUAUGAAAAUUAUAAAAAUAAAAAUAAUAAUUACAUUAUUAAAAUUAACUAAUUUUAAGAAAAAUAUAAAAAAAGGACUAAAUUGAACUGCAAGUAAAAAAAAUUCGCAGAUAAAUAAAGCCUAAAGGACUGUACUGAACGCGCGUAUAAUCAUGGAGGGACUGGAAGGGCAAAUUUCCCUUUCCCUCUAAAUGGCGUCGUUCGAUAGGGACCAAAUUGAAUUUUAAAAUAAAUUAAAAGUGAAUUUUAAAAAACAAAAUAAACUUGAUUGCAAAAAUAUUAAAAGGCGGAAGGGCUAAAAGCACAAUUUACCCCUCCGCUCAAAAACACGCGGAUCCUAGGCCGGGUCGGGUCGGAUUCGGGUCGGCCUCUCCAAAACGACGUCGUUUUAGCGCCUGGGGAGACCUAGUGAAACGAUGCCGUUUCGAUAGGCUAUUUAAGCCAAAAAUACUUCAAAAAUUUUUCAUUUUUCAUUCUUUUUUUAAAACAAAACAAAAAAAAACUUCCAAAAAAACUCUCCCUUCCCAGCUCAUCCGGCCAGAGGUCCAGUCAUCAGCCACUGCGCCGACCAUCGAUCUCUGGCGCCGACACCGCCGUCUGCGGUGGCCGGAAAAGGAGAAAAUCUCCUAUUCGAUCCCUUUGAAGCCCUUAAACCCAGAUCUGGACCCGAAACCCAUGAAACACUACUGCAAGAGCCUCAAAUCUCCGAGAAACCUUUCGGUUUCUGACCGUUCACGGUGGUUCUGGGCACCACUCAGGUCGUUUCUUUCCCCUUUUUAUUUCAUUCGUAUGUAUAUAAAAAAUGUAAAACUAACAGUAGAUAAAAAAAUUAUUGAUAUCAACCUUUUAUUCUUCGAUUAAAUCUGUGAUUUUAUUCUCUUACUCUUGCGUUUGUAAAGAAUGUUGAUCUUUUUAUUGAUUUCGAAUCUGAUCCUUAUUACAGUACAUUCAAUGGCUUUUUAUAACCAAAAUAAGAAUAAAAAGAAAUCAAAAAAGAAAAUUUGUUUGAUCUUAUUUGAUAUGCAAAUCUUUGAUUUUCUUUCCUUUUGCAGUUUGUUUCCUUGCAGGUGAAGAUCGCGGAGAUGCGAUGCUUGGCUUGCGGCGCUGUUGAAACCCUAGGGUUUCUAACAGUAAUUUGGGCCACUGUAGUUUGGACCAUUGUUAUUGUAUUUUUGGUUUGGGUUUUGGGCCCAAAAUACUGUUGUAUUUGGACUGUUUUGCUUCAUGUAGGCCGGGCAAAUUUGGCCAAUUACAGUUGCCCCUCUUUGCUCGUUAUCGUGUAACGGGAACGGAGCAAAGACUUUAGAAAUGGCCAAUUUUUACCCAGUCGUGUUGGAACUUGGUACUCUUCUUCUUUAGGUAGCCUUAUUCCUUCCUACUGCAUCUUCAGAGGUAUAGGAACUAGUGCUUCAAUCUACUCUACUGCAAUGCCAAGGAGAUAGGAUUUGUUUAUUUAGUCUGCCCCACUGCAAUUUCAGGGGGAUAAUACUUGCUUUCUUGAAUCUGCUCCACUGCAAUUUCAAUGAGAUAAGACCCGAUGCGAUCUACUCUACUGCAACUUCAGAGAGAUAAGAUCUAUGAUUUUAAUCCGCUCCACUGCAACUUCAGGAAGAUAGGAUUAUAGGCUUUAAUCUGCUCCACUGCAACUUCAAGGAGACAAGAUUUAUAUAUUCGAUCUACUUCAUGCCAAUACAUGAAGACAAUAUCUGUCAUCUUCGAUCUACUUCACGCCAAUACAUGAAGACAAGAUCUGCUACCUUUGAUCUACUUCAUGCUGAUACAUGAAGACAAGAUCUUCUACCCUUGAUCUACUUCAUACCGAUACAUGAAGACAAGAUCCGUUUUCUUCGAUCUACUUCACGCCAAUACAUGAAGAAAAGAUCUUCUGCCUUUGAUCUACUUCAUGUCGAUACAUGAAGAUAAGAUUCGUUUUCUUCGAUCUACUUCACGCUAAUACAUGAAGACAAGAUCUACUACCUUUGAUCUACUUCACGCCGAUACAUGAAGACAAGAUCAGCUUUCUUCGAUCUACUUCGCCACCAGUAUGGGAAGACAAGAUCUGCUAUCUUCAAUCCACUUCACUACCAAUAUAGGAAGAUAGGAUUUGCUUUCUUCGAUCUACUUCACGCCAAUACAUGAAGACAAGAUCUGCUUUCUUUAAUCUACUUCGCCACCAAUAUGAGAAGACAAGAUCUUCGAUCCACUUCCUACCAAUAUAGGAAGACAGGAUCUGUUAUCUUCGAUUUACUUCACGCCAAUACAUGAAGACAAGAUCUAUUUUUUUGAUCUACUUCGCCACCAGUAUGGGAAGACAAGAUCUGCACCUUCAAUCUACUUCCUACCAAUACAAGAAGACAGGACCUGCUAUCUUCAAUCUACUUCACGCCAAUACAUGAAGAUAAGAUCUGCUAUUUUUAACCUACUCCACUGCUGCUUAGGGAGAUAAGGCCGGUGUCUUUGAUCUGUUUCACUGCCGGUACAGGAAGACAAAAUCUGCUAUUUUCACUGAUCAGUUCUCUAGGGAACAUGACCUGUAUAAUGCAUUUUAUGAACCUAAUUAUGCCUAGAGAUUAGGAUGCCAUGAUCAGAAUGAAUCAAAUACUCCUAACUAGACAUGUAUGCCUGAUGUUUGCAUGAAUGCCGAGUUUUUUUUUUAAGAAUGAUCAUUUUUAAUGCUUAGGUUUUCAUUGCUCGCUGUUCAUUAAGACUUUAACGUCAACACAUCAGAACGCCAUUUUAUUCGACUGGUAUUUCUAAAGAAAUACCCACAUAUUGCCCCCACUGUAAUCCUCUAGAUUCAAUCCACUAGGACAUAAAAUUCGUUGUCAUUUUCUCCCACUGUAAUCCAAUGGUAGAAAUAUAUGGCUUUUCCUCAAUCUUAUCCUAUCACAAUUCAAAGAUGCAGAUCAUGAAACUAUUUUACAUCAUUCCCAGGGUGUCAUACCAAAUGCUCAUGCACAAAUGAAAAGUUCUCUUUCCAUAGGGGACUUCUACCUACUCCUUGGUGAUUGAAGCUUUGUCACUAAUCAAGACUUCUUGCCAUCUCAUUUGAUAUUUAGACAACCAAAUCCGAAAAAGCAGCCUUAAUUUAGACUUUUCCCUUAUUAGGCUUUUGAACUUUUAAACUCGGUGUGUUCUAGACAAUAGUCAUGUUUCAAGUUACUAAAUUAUUUAGAAAUUCCCGGAGUAAUAUGCAAAACUUCUUUUGUGAAAGUUUAUUAGUCCAUCAAUCAUUAUUUUAAUGCGACAUGUUUUCAAAAAUAAUGACUAGGGCAUAACUCAAAAAAUAGAAAAGGAAUUUAUUGAUAGCAAGUGUCUUGAAAUGAAAAAGAUAUUCAAGAACAAUGAAGAAUAAAUUAUUACAAGAACAAACAAAUUCUGUAUAAGUAAUAUGACGGCUAGGUGCCUUGGAUAUCACAGCUUGAACUUUUCUGUGCAAACUAAGAAUCGUUUUGAAUUUAACAUGUGUUUAGGAGAUCCACAGUACUUUGUCGAUACCCCAAGAUGUCGCAUAUCCUUUUCCUGUCGAUUUGGGUAUAGUAAGAUCACCACAUGCCCCAAUCUGAUCAAUGUUUGGGCUGCCCUUUUCAGGUUUUCAACCCAAAUCCCCUUUGGUCUCAAGGCACCCUUUGCAGGUUUUCACAUUGGCCUCUCCAUUUUUUUUAAAACGCCCUUUGCGGGUUUUCACUUUGAUCCCACCCCACUCUUAAGGUGAAAUAUUUCUUGACAGAAUCUAAAUUUAUAGGAUUCAGUAAAUUUUUACCAUCCAUCUCACUCAAAAUCAAAGCUCCUCCGGAAAAAGCUUUUUUUACAACAUAAGGUUUUUCCCAAUUCGGCAUCCAUUUCCCUCUGAAAUCUUUCUGCAAAGGGAGAAUCUUUUUCAGCACCAAGUCUCCCUCAUAAAAUUCUCUAGGACAAACCUUCUUAUUAUAAGCUUGCAUCAUUCGCUUCUGAUACAUUUGACCGUGACGAAUAGCUUUUAGUCUUUUCUCUUCUAUCAGAUUCAACUAAUCAUAUCGAGAUUGGAUCCAUUCGGCCUCAUCUAGUUUUAGUUCAGCCAAUACCCAGAGAGAAGGAAUUUCAACCUCAAUAGGUAAAACUGCCUCCAUUCCAUAAACCAAAGAAAAAGGCGUUGCUCUAGUAGAAGUUCUGAUAAAUGUUCGAUAAGUAAGAAGAGCGGAUGGCAACUUCUCAUGACAGUCCUUAUAAGUUUCAGUCAUUUUCCCCACAAUCUUCUUGAUGUUUUUGUUGGCCGCCUCCACUGCACCGUUCAUUUUUGGGCGAUAUGGUGAUGAAUUAUGGUGUCUAAUAUUGAACUGAUUGCAGACUUCCGCUAUUGUGUUGUUGUUCAAAUUCAGUGCAUUGUCAAAUAUGAUCCUUUCAGGCAUUUCAUAUCGACAUAUAAUCUCUUUUUUCAAAAACUUUCUGACUGCUGACUUCGUGACAUUUACGUACGAGGCUACUUCUGCCCACUUAGUGAAAUAAUCAAUAACUACAAAAAUGAAACGAUGCCCAUUAGAAGCCUUCGGUGAUAUUGGCCCAAUGACAUCCAUACCCCACAUGGAGAGAGGCCAUGGAGAGGUCAUAACAUGAAAAGGUGCAGGAGGUGCAUGCAUUUUAUCCUCAUAAAUUUGGCAUUUAUGACACUUAUUGGCAUAAUUGAUGCAAUCUCUUUCCAUAAUGGACCAAUAAUAUCUGAAUCUCAUGAUCUGUCUAGCCAUGGUGAAUUCAUUGGCGUGUGUUCCACAAACAUCCUCAUGGACUUCUUCUAAGAUUUCCUUAGCCUCUACAGCAUCCAUGCAUCUCAACAGUACUCGAUCCUUUCCCCUCUUGUAUAGAAUCUCUCCAUCUAAGACAUAGUCAAUAGCUAGUCUCCUCAAUGUCCUCUUAUCAUUCUCCGUUGCUUAAUUAGGAUAUUUGCGAUCCUUCACGUAUUGCAAUAUAUCUUGGUACCAAGGGAAAUUAUCAUUCUCCACCUCUUCAAUGCUGUAGCAAUGGGUCGGGAUCUCAUAAAUACUGAUUUGAAUGGACUUCAUGUCUUCUAAUUUAUUCACUUUAAUUAUGGAGGCUAGUGUAGCCAGAGCAUCAGCUAUCUGAUUUUCUUCACGUGGGAGAUACCAGAAAGUGAUAUUGUCAAACUCUUCAAUCAAAUUCAGAACCAAUCUUCGAUAACGGAUUAACUUUGGGUCUCUCAUUUCCCAUUAUCCUUUUAGCUGGUAUAUUACCAAUACCGAGUCCCCAUAUACUUCUAGUGUCUUAAUUUUCCGCUCUAUGGCUGCCCGGAUACCCAUAAUGCAAGCUUCAUAUUCAGCCAUGUUAUUGGAGCAAUCAAAGUCUAACUUACUGGUGAAAGGAUGAUGAUCCCCAUUUGGAGAUACCAAGAUUGCCCCAAUCCCAUUGCCCAACGCAUUUGAAGCUCCGUCAAAGUUCAUCCUCCAAGAAUGAUUUUUUUGAGAAUCCUCCUCAGAAUUUCCUAUAUCCAUCAAGUCUUCAUUCGGGAAGUCAAAGUCCAGAGGCUCAUAGUCUUCUAAAGCUCUACUAGCCAAGAAAUCUGCUAUUGCACUCCCUUUGAUGGCCUUCUGACUUACAUAUACCAUAUCAAAUUCGGAGAGUAAGAUUUUUCAUCUAGUCAUUCUCCCAUUCAGCGCUGUGGACUCCAUCGUAUACUUUAAAGGGUCUAAUUUUGAAAUUAACCAAGUCGUAUGAUAGAGUAAGUAUUGCCUCAACCUCUUUGUCGCCCAAAUCAAGCAACAAUAUAAUUUUUCGAUAGACAAAUAUCUCAUCUCGCAGUCAGUGAAUUUCUAACUGAGAUAGUAUAUCGCAUUUUCCUUCUUUCCAGUCGCAUCAUGUUGACCCAACACAUAUCUCAUGGAAUUGUCGAACACCAUUAAAUAUAAAAUCAAUGGUCUAUCUGGGCUAGGUGGUGAUAGAACUGGAGUAUUGGAUAGGUACUACUUUAUAUUUUCAAAAGCUUCCUAGCAUUCUUUAUUCCAAACCCCUGGAUUAUGUUUCUUCAAAAGACGAAAUAUAGGAUCACAUUUCUCGGUCAACUGUGAAAUGAACAGAACAAUUUAAUUUAGUCUUCCUAAGAAACCUCGUAAUUCUUUCUGAGUACGUGGUGGCGAUAAAUUCCGUAUUGCCCUAACUUUGUCUAGGUCAAUCUUAAUUUCUUUCUCACUGACUACGAAGCCCAACAACUUUCCUGACCUGGCUCCAAAAGUGCAUUUUGUUAGAUUGAGUUUGAGCUGAAACUUUCUUAGUCUUAGGAACAACUUCCUCAAGACCUGCACAUGUUUCUCCUCUGUUCUGGAUUUGGCAAUCAUAUCAUCAACAUAAACCUCAAUCUCCUUGUGCAUCACGUCAUGAGAUAAGGCUACCAUGGCUUUUUAAUAUGUUGCUCCCGCAUUCUUUAACCCAAAGGGCAUCACUUUAUAGCAGAAUGUUCCUCACAAAGUAAUGAACGUGGUCUUUCUCAUAUCUUCAGAAUGCAUCUUUAUCUGAUUAUAUCCUGAGAACCCAUCCAUGAAAGAAACCAGUGAAUAUCCCUCCGUAUUAUCUACCAACGUGUCAAUAUGCGGUAAUAGAAAAUUGUCUUUUGGGCUAGCCUUGUUUAAAUCUCUGUAAUCUACGCACAUUCGUACUUUUCCAUCUUUUUUCGGGACUGGAACGAUGUUGGCUACCCAUUUAGAAUAUUUGACUUCCUGUAAAAACCCAACUUCAAACUGCUUUUUGACCUCCUCUUUUAUCUUAAGCACAAUAGCAGGUCUCAUUCUUCUGAGCCUUUCCUGAACUGGCUUACAAUCCUCACUUAUAGGUAAACAAUGCACUACAAUGUCCGUGCUUAAUCCAGGCAUAUCUUGGUAUGACCAUGCGAAGACAUCUUUGAAUUCCUGGAGUAAUUCGACAAGGUCUCGUCUUGUUUUUGCGGAAAUCUCUAUUCCAAUUUUCACCUCUUUCCCUUCUUCUAAGCUCACAGUUUCUAUUGUUUCUUUGUGAGGCAAGAUCUAUUUCUCUUCCUGUUCUACCAUCCUCAACAAGUCCAAGGAUAAACCACAAUCUACAUCACCUUCAAAGUCAUGCGAUCCAUCUAAACACAUGUUUCGUUCAAAAGGAAACUCUAAGUUUGUAGCGGCGUCAUUCACGUCAUUGAUAUACAAUGACCUAAUAUGGUUACAAAAGAAUGUAUGAAUUUAUGUACCAUUAUUUGUGCAAUAUGAUUAUGAAAGAAUAAUUAAUCUAUUUACUUAUAUGGAAAGAAUAAAAGAAUAUUUGCUUGAAACAAUUGCAAAGAUGUAUUUUAUUAAAAUAAUGAUAUCUGAACAUAAGCCUUUUUCACAAAGGAGUUCUUAUUAUUUCAAGGCUAAAAUAACAAGUUUGUUCUGAACAUUACUCUGAGAGAGUUCUAAAGACUUCAGGUAUUUAUUCCACAGUCCAAUUAUCUAGAACACUCCCAGGUUCAAAAGGACAAAUGUCUGACAAACUUCCUUCUUCCUUUGUACCCUCACAAAUGGCAUUAAUGUGCACAUUUUUCAGUGUCUCCUCGAUGCUUUCCUCAGUUGAUAUCCUUCUCUCAAAAUGAAUAAUACCCCCAGACACGAAGGUUUUAUAUAUGUGGGGAAUUAUCAUUGGCUCCCAUUUGACUUCCUCCCCAUUUAAACGCGCUCUUCUUCUUUCUUGCCUUCUUUCCAGCUCAUUUCUUCUCUGUCCUCUAUCUGGCUUGUACCCUAAACCAAAGUUGUCUUAUUUUUCAUUUAGCACCGAAACCCCAACCUUCCCUUGAAGUUAUUUCCCUAAUCAUCUUCUGGGUAAAGCUCAUUUCCCCAACAACAAUUGCAAACUCAUCUCUGUAGUUCUGGAUAUUUUAGGUACCAGAAUUUUGCUCCCUUCAGGAACAAAUGUUGCAUUUACAAACUCCAGAGAUCGAAAAGAGCAUUCUACCGAUUCGCCAUUGGUCUCCACAUACGGCACCUCAUUGGAUACGGCCGCUAUAAUAUCCUCUUCAGCAUUUAUCAUCACCAACCGACCUUCUGACACCAUCUUUAAUUUCUAAUGUAACAAUGAAGGUACAGCCCCCGCCGAAUGUAUCCAUGGUCUCCGUAGUAAGAAAUUGUAGGAUGGUUCAAUGUCCAUCACAAGAAAAUCCACCUCAUAAAUCGUUGGGCCAAUCAAUAAAGGUAUCUCAAUUCUUCUCAUAACUUUUGUUUCUGUACCAUCAAACGCCUUCACUAUUUUUUGGCAUGUUUUCAUGUGCGAGCUGUCUAUGGGAAGCCUGUUAAGUGUGAAUAAUGGCAACACAUUCAAAGCUGAUCCAUUGUCAAUCAACACUUCUGGCAAAGUAUACCCCUUGCAUUGUGUAGUGAUAUGCAAAGCCUUGGUAGACCCCAUGCCCCUAGGUGGUAUCUCAUCAUCAGUGAAGAAUAUGAAGUUAUCAGCACUGAUAUUAUUGACCAAACGAUUCAAUUUAUUGACAGAAAUAUCAUUGGCUACAUAGGUUUCAUUCAACACCUUCAUCAACGCACUACGGUGUACUUCAAAAUUCAAGAGCAAGGCUAGUACGGAUGUGCGAGUCGGCUGUUUGUGCAACUGUUCGACCACAUUAUUCUUACUAUGCUUCAAAAAUUUGAGGAACUCCAUAGCUUCUUCCUCCUUCACUGGCUUAUUGAUAGAUAGCACAGGCUUAACUACUUUCAUUUUUUGUUCCACUGCUAUGGCCUUUCCUUUCACAGGUUUUGGAUCGGUACUCACACAUUGGUCCUUUGCAGUCUCCUUUUCAGGGACAGUUGUAUUGCACUCAUAGUUCCACAAAACCCUCUUACUAUCUUGCUAAGAAAAGGUUGUAGGUUUCUUUAUUAUAAUCCUUGGUGUUACUGGCAUUCUCACUUCAUUAUUCUUUGGUUGCGAAAUGAUGACCACCGGCUGCGCUACUCUUGAAACCUUCGUGGAUUCGGAUGUGCAAAUACUCCCUUCCUCCUUAACUUCUUCGUAAAACUCCAUUUCCUUGUUAUCCAUCAUGCCUUGAACCAAAGCUCUGAGUUCUGUACAUUCUUGAAUCUCAUAUCCCUCCUCAUGAUGGAACUCACAGUAGUUUUCCACCCCUUCAAAGCUUCUCUCUGAAACAAAUAAUCCAUUUUCUACCAUCUUCCUCCAGACCCAUCUCAAAGGAAUUUUCACUUCUGCAAUAUCUUCCUUGAUUUUCCUUCCCAUGCUCCCACCUAUCAUGUUUACUCCAUUAUGAUUAGGUAAUGGAUUCUCUGUCUUAGGUGAAUCAUCCAAUUUAACAACGCCCAUACUUAUAAGUCUUUCAACCAGCUUUUUGAAUGUCGUACAAUGUUCUAUGGAAUGCCCUACGAUUCCCACAUGAUAAUCGCAUUGUGCGUUUACAUCGUACCACUUGGGGUACGGAGGCUGUAGAGGUUCUAAAUAAAAAGGAGAAACUACAUGUGCAUUGAAUAACUUUUGAUAUAACUCCCUAUACGACAUUGGAACGGGCGUAAAUUGGGGCUUUUCCUUGUUUUGCCUUGUGUCGGCUCCUUGUUUGUCAAUAACCACCUUUCUCGGCUGAUUCACCGUAAUCGUCUUUGAAUAACUGGUGUUAUUGACCUCGUUUUCCUUUUUCUUUGAGGCUGACCUUCUGCUACUUUCUCCAGCAUCUGUCUUCCCGCUUCUGAUAGCAUUUUCUAUCAUUUCACCAUUCAUAAUUAUGUCAGAAAAGCUUUUAGUAGCACUUCCUAACAUGUGCGUAAUAAAUGGGGCCUUCAAUGUGUUAACGAAAAGCAUUGUCAUUUCUCUUUCUAGAAGAGAUGGCUGAACCUGGACAGAAACCUCCCUCCACCUCUGUACAUAUUGCCUAAAACUCUCACCGGGUUUCUUCUUCAUGUUUUGUAGAGUAAUUCUAUCAGGUACCAUGUCGGUUACAUGACUGUGCUGUCUUAUGAAUGCCUGUGCCAAAUUUAUUCAUAUAGUCACCAACAAAGUCACGAAGAUCAAACACAAGAAUCUUUUUAUCAAGAACCAAAAUAGGUAGAUGAUCAAUAAACAAGAUAACACAGUCAAACAAAUCGCGAUUUAAGUGUUUUUCAAGAAUCAAUUCAACAACAUUAUCUUUGUCACCACCUAAAGAGAACAACGAUGUUUCAAAAAAUUCAUGAGCCUUACCUUUAAAAGUAGAAACACAAAUAUUAGUUUUACCUCAUUCAGUCAACACAAACCUUCGCUCCUCGGGGGUAUAUUGUAGUCGAAGGUUUUCAAUUUGACUCUCCAUCUUUGGCGGUUGAGAGAACAAAGGAAUCAAGCUCAAAUUACAUCCAAAAUAAAUGAAAAAAUCAUUCAAUCGGUCAUGCAUCCAAAGUCUUAUUUGAUCAGAACUUGCAUAUCUCAAAUUAUCAAACAAUCUUGAUAUGUCAGUAUUGCAAACAAGUGAAUUCAAUCGGUUCAAAUGACAAAUAAUCAUGCAUGUUCGCACAUAAUCAAACUCAACAGUCCCUUUCCAUGCAUUUUCAACACGAUCAAUCUCAAAGAAAGAUUUAUAUGAGUUUUCAUAUUACGUAGUCAAAAAGUACCAUGGACGACGGACUACAAUUUCAUUUUUUUGCAGAUCAGCAUCUCAAUUUGUACUAACUUUAUUCUUGCAUUCAUCGCUCAAAACAUACACUUCAUGGCUAAUCAAAGAAAAACAAGUAAUUGCAUCAGUAUACAAAUAAUUUUCAAAGGUCAAAGCAUCAAUCAAAUUGUUCGCACCAAAUUUGGGAUGCUCAAAUUUCCCACAAAAUGAAUUAACAUAACAAAUUCCAGGUUUUAACUCACGAGUUUGAUCACUUAUUCCAUAGUGUAGUAAAAAUUUCAUUCUCACAGCAAUGCUUAUACCAAAGGGUUUCGUGUACAAAUAUAAAUGAUUCACAUAACCAUGAAAAACGAAUAAAUCAAACGUUUGAUGUGAAUACCUCCGAUCACGUAUGUCCAAAGUUUGCACAAUCUGGAUUAAUCCAAUGCCAUCAACAGAUUUUUCAACAUGAAACACAUCAAAUAAACAACUCUUCAUGCCUUCAUUUAAAAUAAAAUUAUCAUCAAAUAUCAAUGUAAUACAAUUAACCAAAGCAAAGUAAGGAGGUAUUUUGAAAACUAUGGCACCAGAAACUUUCUCAACAACAUCAAACAAAGAAUGACAAUUGGCCAUGUCAAGACAUGAAACCAUUUCAAAGACUAAGUCAUCAGCAAUAUUAUCACAAACGUUCAAGUGGGAUAAUGGGGACUUACACGGCAUAGGACCCUCAUCUCUCUUACCUUUAUGUGCCAGUGGACAAAGGUCUUCUAUGUUCUUACCUUUCUGAAUCAACUUGAAUCGCUUCUCAUCAGGAAAAUAUAGUAAUUGAAAAUCGUCACACGAAUCUUCAGGAAUCUGAAAAGAAGAAACAGAACAAUAACAAACUUCACGGGGGUUUGUUAAAAUUUCGUUCUCCUUUUCUUGUUCUCGCUCACUAUCUUCAUUUUCUCUCGUUUAUCCUUCAACAUCUUUCUCUUUUUUAAUUUUUUUCUCAAUCUCAAUUUCUUUUUCAAUUUUCUUUUCUUCAUUUUCUUUUUCUCUCACUUUUUCGACCUCUUUUUCUUUUGCAAUUUCUUUUCCUUUUUCACUUUCGUUUUCUUGUUGUUUUCUUUCAAUUUCUUUUUCCACUCUUUCUUUUUCUUCUCUUUCAAUUUCUUGUUCCUUUUCUUUCAUCUUUCUUCUCGAUUUUUCUUUACAAGAUGAAGAUAAAAUAAAAGAAUCAGAAUGAGAUAUUUUUCGUCGAGUAUGAUUGGAAUGAUUUAAAUAUGAUUCACAUUCACUCAUUCGUAAAUAAUCCUCCGUGGAUGAAUGCCUAGAUGCACUUGAAGAGAGAUAUCUUCUUUCUCGGUUAUCAUCUUGAAAAACCUCAUUCUCAAAACUUUCUUUUUUUCUACUCAAAUUCUUUGAUGAGUAGUAAUCUUGGUAUGGAUCUCUUCUUGAGUAGGAAUCAUGAAAAUCUCUUCUCACCAAGUUAUUGGAUGUUUUUCUCCACGAUGAUCUUAUUUUCGUCUCUUGACUUGAAGAGAUUCGCUCCCGGUGGAAUCGUUCAUCCAACUUUUUCAAUCGUUCUUUAAUUCGUUCCAAUUUUCUUUGAAGCAUUUGACCCAUCUCGUGAAUAAUUGUUUGAUAUGUUGGGUCGAUCAGAACAUCGUCAUAUUCUUCACCAUCAAUCCCUUCAAAACUUCUUGACAUCUUAUUUAAUCAUACAACAAAACUCACACUUCUCUCACAAAGAAAAUUCACACAAUUUGACUUUUACUUCUCUCGAAUGGUCUUACGAAUCGCUCUUGCCUUUUUCCACUCGAUUUUCGCCUCUCGAAGUUCUCCACAAACUAGGUCGACAAAUAAAUACCGUUUGGGGUCGGCUUACAAAAUUGAUUUGGCUUGGUAGGUAAUGAUGUUGAAAAUGGUAGGUCUGAUUCAGCUAGCUCUGAUACCAAAUGAUGCGAACCAGCCUCGGUUGAUUGAGUUGAGUCACUUUUGUUGCCCGAUCGUCUAACGAAGAAGUUUCGUUCGUCUUGAGUCAAAAGAAAUAUAUUCGUUUAAUGAAUAUGUUUAUGGUUCAAUUAAGGUUUAAAGGAAAUGGUGUGUAAUGUAUUUCGGCUAAGAAAGAAAGUAUUAUGUUGAAAAGGUAUGGGAUUUCGGUUUAAUGGAAAAUGGAUGGAUUGGCUUAAAAACAAGAAAGAACCAACACAAAGGGUGAGUGUUGACCCGAAUCUUAUAUGUUCUUAAGAUGGAAGAUGAAUGAAGUAAAAGGACCUCGACCCACUAUCUAUCAAAGAUAGGAACCUUGGUAUAGUUGAACGCCACACUUUGGUAUAAAGUGAUAAGUUCGGUUUGCAAAGAGCAGGGUUGAUGCCACUAACUAGUAGAUAAGCCAACGGAGUCUUUGGACAAAAUUGAGAGAAGAAAUCUCACCAAAAUAUUCAGAUUAAUUAUAAAAUUGGCAAAAAGUCCUUUUACAAAUGAACAAGCAAAUAUUUAUAUUGCAGCAUAAGCUAGCUGAAUAGACAUACUUAAAAGCUAAGAAAAAUCAAGAAAAUUCUAGAAAUAAUUCCCUUGAAAGAUUCGGCUGAAUGGGAGCUCCAAUAGGCAGCUUAAGCAUUAAGCAAAUGAACCUUGUAGAGAUGAAUGCACCGGUAGUCAAAUGGCCAUGUCUAGAUUCGGCCAGGCCUUUAAAUGACUCCUUGAAUUAGCACUUGUUGGCUGGAAAGAUAGGAGCAUUGAAUAGAGUCUUUGAACAGCCACACAAGUGUGAAAAGUCAGUUUUGGAGGGUCAAUUAUGUGUGAACAUCAUCAGCUGAUUAGUCCUUAGUGUGAAUGCUAAAAAUGAGUUGCAUGUAUAUGUUUAAAGAUGGCAAAUUCGGCUGAACAUUCAUUUGGGGUGCCAUGCAUGUACCGCCCAAAUGCAUUGAACCUAAGGUGCAUGCACCCAUGCCGUCCAAGGAAAAUUCCUGCACCAAAAUAAAUCAGCAAAUUAAUCAUGCAUCAAUCACAUUAAAUUCGGCAACAAGAUGAAUCUAAAAACCUGCAUAUAAAAUUCGGUGAACUAAUUAAAUGAGUUUAGGACAUAUUUAAGACACUAAAAUAAUUAAGACAUACUUAAUAACACUUAAUUAUUAUUUGAUCAGAAUUAAACUUAAUUAAUUAGCUUAACUAAUUUAACUAAUGACAACUUAAAUAAUUAUUCCAGCAAAAUAAAUAUAAACGCAAAUGGGCUUAAAAUUAAAUAAAUUGAAGUUCAAGCUCAAUGAGCUAGAAUCAGCUCGAUUGAGCUCCAUUGAGUCGGAACAAGCUAGUUCAGCUUGUAAGAGUUUACGAAUGGCGCCUGAUGAACUGAACCAAUGAUGUUUUCAGGGCAGGGUCGUAUCAGUGGUUAAUAAUUUUCAGAUAAAACCUAAUACGAAACCUUAUCCACCUUCCAAAAGUGACUGUGAAACCAUGUGAGUAGAAGUUGUGCACACCCAAUGAAUCUUCCUUCUCCCGCUUUUCGGCAUGCACUCAAUGACCUGAAAGUUUCUGCCAAAAUCGUCAGAAUUGGUGUAACCCCCUUAUCAAGCCGGUCGAAUAAGUCGGUGACUGCUUCAUCAACAUGCCCCAAGGCUUUGGGGAAAACAACCAAGCCAUAUAUACUUAGUGCAAAGACAUCUAACCUCUUCCUCACAUCUAGGUGUGUUAAAAUUGCAUCUUUCAAACUCCUUCAAGGAACGCACUUACUAUCCCCCUUUUGCUUAAUCCAUGUAGCAACCCACUGCUCACUCAUCCCUGUUAUACUCAUCAGCUUAUUCGAAAAAGUUGGCACAUUUAUCGUUCUCGAGUAGACCCUUUCCACUUGAAACUUUGAACAUCGAAGUAAAGCCACAUAUUCUUCUAUCGUAGGCACCAAAUCGACCUUCCCAAAUGUGAAGCAACUGUAAGCAGGAUUCCAAAACUGGGCGAGGGCUCGAAACAAAUGUUUGUCUACCUUCACGUCAAGCAAAUAAGGCAAAUCCCCAUAAAUAUCAUAAAAUAGUUGUCUAACCUCGUUAUUACACUGCUCCCAGAUUUCCUUUAACUCUUGCAAACUAUUUUGAAUUACACUAAUGCGAGUAAAGUCCCACAAUUCCGAUACAUACCCGUCAGCCAAACUAUCACCCUUUUCUUGUUGCGUUGUUUUAGACCAAGUUCGGACAGCCGCAUUAUCCUCCACUUUAUCAAGAAACCCUUUUUCCAUGAUAAGCUUUCUAUCUAGUAACUGAAUAUGAAUCGAUGCCUUUUAUGAGGAAAUGAAAUGUCAUGUCAUGUAAUCAAAAUAAAACAUAAAAAGUUAGUGCCAUCUAACAACAUAAAAUAUAAUCAAGAAAUAGUAAAACACCUAAUCGGAUAUCUAUUAGGGUUCAAUAUAGUUUUACCUAAGGUGGAUUCCUAAGGUUCACUAUAUGAAGUUCGGCUUCUAGGGCAAAGGUACCCGAACCAGCAGAUUUUUCGAUUUUCACCCAUUAUAGGCUCAUAUAGAUCAAGUUCGGUUCGGGGGAAUACAUUUUCCCUAUGACUAUACGGAGAUGAAAAUCUCAUGAAGGCAUAGGUAUCGAUGUACUCCGAAAGUGAUCCACUAUCCUAUGCGGAGGUGAAAAUCUCACGAAGGAAUAGUUUCUCACUCCCACUUAGAAGAGUAAAAUCAUUCGACUCAUGUAAUUCGUAAUGCAAACAAUAUUUAAAUCAAUCAAGCAAGAAAAUAAUGAAUGCAAAAGGAUCUUAUGAAUUUUUUUUAAAAAUAUUUUCUCGACCAUAAGAUAAAAAUUAAUCAACUUUGUGGCUCCACUCUCUUAGUUUUUUGAAAAAGUCCCCAGCAGAGUCACCAAGCUGUCGAAACCAUUCUUAUGAAAACAAAAAUUUAGUUGUCGACUUUAAAAAAAACAAAAAUUGGGAGUCGCCACCAAUCUUUUAUUGAGGUGUGAUUGGAUCACCCAAAAAAAUAGCUUUGGUCUACGAGUUUUAGAAAAUCGGAUUCGGGAGUCAAUUACGUACGUGGAAGGAUUGGCACCCUCAUAACGCCCAAAAAUUGGUAUCAAAUUGAUUAAUUAAUGUCUUCAAGUCGAGAGUUAAAAAAAAUGCGAUCCUUAAUUAAAUUAUUUAUUAAGACUUUCUCAUUUUGAAAAAAAAAUAUCACACCCAAUGCGUUAGGGCAUAACAUUUUAUUCUCUUCAAGAUGAGUUAGUCCAGAAAACUCGUGUAAUAAAAUUUAAGAAAAUAUCUAAUUGUUUAAAAUUUAUGAAGAAAUUGCAGCCCAAUACGUUAGGGCACAAUUUCCUAAAAUCCCAAACAUUCAAUAUUUCCUUUAUUUUUCUUAAAAUAUCCUUGUCUCGAGAAAUCAACGUGUCACAUCCAAUACGUUAGGACACAACAUAUUGAAUUCCCGAUGACAAGUUUUAUUUUGUUUGAUUAAAGAGCAAUUCUCGAUUGUUAGAUUUAACGAAGAAAAUCGGAACCCAAUACGUUAGGGCUCAAUCUUCUCGAAAAUCCUAAAAAUGAGCAUUAUCUCUAUUUUGAAAAUUUCUAUUUUUAAAUUCGAGUAAAAAGAUGACAUAAUGUUAUGUUGAAUGUAUGAAUAGAUGCCUCUUAAACAAAUAUCAAUAAUAAAUAUAACAAUUGCAUAGAAAUAAUAUGAAUAAAUAAAUAAAAAUAAUGAUACGCAAAAUAUCAAAUAAAUGAGCAAAAUAAUAAUAAUAAUAAUAAUAUGAAAACAUAAAUUGAUAAACAAACUAUUGAAAUAAACAAAAAAAAAAACAUAAAGAAUAAGAGACACAUAACAUAUACAUUGAAAUUAUGGAGAAAAAAAACAAACACAUGAUUUACAUAUAAAAUUUUGAAUUAUAAAAUUUAUAUAAAUAUAUAAUGCAUUUAUGAAAAUAAAGAAAAGUAUAUAAAUAUACAUAUAUACAUAAAUUAUAAAAUAUGUGUUAAAAAUAUAAAUAGGUAGUUAAACGUUUUUUGAAAAUAAAUAAAAAAACAUAGAUGUAUACGCAUAUAUAUAUAAAUAUAAAAGAAUAUUCAUAAAAAAAUGUACACAUGUACAUAUAAAAAAUAUAUAUAGGUUUAAAAUAAUUAAAUAAUAUCUACAUUAUCAAAACUAAUUAAAAAAUAUGUGUAUAUAUAUAAAUAUGCGAAAAAUAUUAGUUAGAAAAAAAGUAUAAAUACGUACAUAACAAUAAAUAUACAUAUAUAUAUAGAUAAAAUAAUAAUAAUUACAUAUGAAAAUUAUAAAAAUAAUAAUAAUAAUUACAUUAUUAAAAUUAACUAAUUUUAAGAAAAAUAUUAAAAAAAAAGACUAAAUUGAACUGCAAGUAAAAAAAUUUGGGGUAAAUCCACAAAUAAAUAAAGCCCAAAGGACUGUAUUGAAUGCGCGUAUAAUCAUGGAGGGACUGGAAGGGCAAAUUUCCCUUUCCCUCUAAACGACGUCAUUCGAUAGGGACCAAAUUGAAUUUUAAAAUAAAUUAAAAGCGAAUUUUAAAAAACAAAAUAAACUUGAUUGCAAAAAUAUUAAAAGGCGGAGGGGCUAAAAGCGCAAUUUACCCCUCCGCUCAAAAACACGCGGAUCCUAGGCCGGGUCGGGUUGGAUUCGGGUCGGCCUCCCCAAAACGACGUCGUUUUAGCGCCUGGGGAGCCUAGUGAAACGACGCCGUUUCGAUAGGCUAUUUAAGCAAAAAAUACUUCAAAAAAUUUUCAUUUUUCAUUCUUUUUAAAAAAAAAACAAAAAAAACUUUCAAAAAAACUCUCCCUUCCCAGCUCGUCCGGCCAGAGGUCCGGUCAUCGGCCACAGCGCAGGCCACCGAUAUCCGGCGCCGGCACCGUCGUCUGCGGUGGCCGAAAAAGGAGAAAAUCUCUUAUUCGGUCCUUUUGAAGCCCCUAACCCAGAUCUGGACCCGAAACCCACGAAACACUGCUGCAAGAGCCUCAAAUCUUCGAGAAACCUUUCGAUUUCCGACCGUUCACGGUGGUUCUGGGCACCACUCAGGUCGUUUCUUUCCCCUUUUUAUUUCAUUCGUAUGUAUAUAAAAAAAUGUAAAACUAACAGUAGAUAAUAAAAAAAUUGUUGAUAUCAACCUUUUAUUCUUCGAUUGAAUCUGUGAUUUUAUUCUCUUGCUCUUGCGUUUGUAAAGAAUGCUUGUCUUUUUAUUGAUUUCGAAUCCGAUCCUUAUUACAGUAUAUUCAAUGGCUUUUUAUAGCCGAAAUAAGAAUAAAAAGAAAUAAAAAAAGAAAAUAUGUUUGAUCUUAUUUGAUCUGCAAAUCUUUGAUUUUCUUUCCUUUUUCUGUUUGUUUCCUUGCAAGUGAAGAUCGCGGAGAUGCGAUGCUUGGCUUGCGGCGCUAUUGAAACCCUAGGGUUUCUGACUGUAAUUUGGGCCACUGUAGUUUGGGCCAUUGUUAUUGUAUUUUUGGUUUGGGUUUUGGGCUCAAAAUACUGUUGUAUUUGGACUGUUUUGCUUCAUGUAGGCCGGGCAAAUUUGGCCAAUUACAUUCCUAGCAUGCUCAUCAACUUCACAAAUGUUCCAGUUAUCUCACUUAGGCAGGUACUCAAACUGUAAACUCUCCAAUGAAGGAAAUGCACUCUAUUCCUACCCAAUUGGCCAACAUUGUACCACAAUAAAAGGUAAUUGUAAGGUCCUUAAGCUUUUUUAGAAGGUUGAAGUCAAUCCAAUACCUUUUUCUCGACUUCUUGUGUUCUAUUCUCAAAGUUUGCACUCCAUUUUCUAGUUUCCCAAGCCUUGCUUAUCAUGUAACUUAGCCAUCCACGCAUCUUGACAUUCAACAACAUUCUGUAAGCCCGAAAUACAAAGUUGUUCUUUAUUUGAUAUCUCACAAAUCCUUUAGCUCCUUUAUUUGAUAUCCCCAGUUUUUACCCAACACAAAAUUGGAUAGUUUCUCCAUCUAUUGCACCAGUGACAUCAAGAUAACAUAGGUUGAGUAGAUUUUCCAUAUUUGAAGGUAGCUUCUCAAGGCUGUGACACUUUUUUAAUAAAAGCUAUAAAGGGUAUUUAUUUACUCGAGCAAUUUUUUAAUCACGGUUUGAGAAAAAUAGAAGUAUAGUAAAUGUUUUAAAUCCCCGAUAAAAUCAAGCAACACUGUGAUAUGAUACCCUCUUAAAGAAAACAUCCUUAACCAUCUCAAAUGUCACAACAAAGCAUAUCUUAUGAUCAUUUCAUAGUCUCAAUGGCAAAAAGCUCCUUAAACGUUGCCCUUUAGAAAUGCCCACAAACCUUGUGAUGCCAUCAUAACAAUUAGCAAAAUAAGAUCAGUAGCCAGCGUGCUUUGAAAUUUGUUGAUUACCCUCGAUCUUGAAGCAUAGUUAUCCAGCAACUGAUUGAGCCAAAUCAUUAUUUGCAAAAGGGACCUUGACACUAAAUCUCUAAAGUACUUGUGACCUACUUCUUCAAUGCCUUGUUUAUCUUGUGCUUCUUACUAGAAAGCCUUGUGCCCUCCAUAACAAGAUUAAGUCUUCCUCAUUGAAUAGCCCUUAAGAAGAAUGGGGUAGUACGCAAAACAUCGCUUCAAAUGCAGAGGAACAUGAUGGUAACUCAAUUGAGGAACUGGAAUUAUACCUGUAAGGCCCAAUAUUUUCCCGGGCCUGUAAACCAAAAAUAAACCAGUAAAAAAAAUAAAAACCUAAAACCAAAUCGGCCCAAAUGGCCCAACACCAGAAAACCCAAAUCAGAAACGGAAAACUCCUAGGGUUUCCAGAAGAUCUAGGCACCGCAGGCUCUACCCUCGCACGAACCGCACCUUCGAGCCGCUCCCCUCACGUGCGCCUCUGUACCCUCUGCAUCUGCCACGCACCCGCGCACCUUUGUACCCGUACCUGCAAAUACACACACACAAGAGCAGCGAAGAAAACAACAGAAAAGAACAAAUAGCAGUAAAAAAUAAGGGAUUUUAAGUUUUUUAUUUUUUUUUCUGGCUAUAUAAAAGCCAAACACGCAUAUUGUAUGAGGUACGCACAUUGAAAUAUAAAAAAAGAAUUAAGAAAAAGAAAGAAAUCAGACUUUGGAGGUGAUUUCGAGUUUUUUCCUUCUUUUCUCUGGUUGUUUUAUUAUUUUCAGAUUCUUUUCUUCUUUUCUUUUUAUCUAUUGCUUGCGAAAGGGAAAUGAAAUGAGGGUAAAAGAUCUUACCUUUGUUGUGAAGCCGAAUCCUCGUCCUCUUCGUCGUAAUCAGAGAUCGGGUGUGGGAUCGGGGGGCCUUUGAGUGGCUGUGUCUGAAACGGCGCAACUUCUAAGGGAAGGGGUUAAGUUUUUUUAGGGCUUAUUUCUAUUAAGGUUAAGCAUUAUAAGACUUGAUAUUGGUUUAAGGAGAGUUUUGAAAACGUCACCGUUAUGGCCCGCUUUAAUGGCUUUGAAACGGUGCCGUCUUAGGUUGCAACCCGAUGACCUGACCCAACCCAAGCAUGGCAAGAUCCGCGCAUUUUGGUCUAGGAGGGAAUAUUUCGCCUUUGGUCCUCCUGAUUUGUUUCAUUGUUUUAAUUUGGUUCUUUUAUUUUUCGAAUUUGCCCCGUUUAUUUUCAAUUUUAUUGUUUUAAUCCCUUUAAAACGCAGUGUUUGAAAGUUUUGGAUAAUUUCCUAAUUAGCCCUCCAGGUUACGCGCAUCUUGCAAGAUUGUCCUCUAUUUUAAUUUGUUUUUUGUUUUUUAAUUCUGUUUUAGAUUAUAAUUUAAUCCUUUGUAUUUUUUUACUAAGUAAAUUUAACAUUAGUUUUUUUUUACUAUUUUUCGUUAUUACUGUUAUUUUAUUAUAUAUUACUAUUAUUUUUAGUAUUAUAGAUUGCUAUCAUAUUUAUUUAUAUAUUCAUUUAUUCUUCAAAUGUAUAUAUAUUAUUUUACUACAUAUUAUUUUAAAAUUACUUUUAUAUAGUUUUAUUCCAAAUUGUUUUAUAUAAUAAUUAUUUUAAAAUCAUCCUAUACUAUUUACCUUAAAUCAAUUUAUAUUAGCUAUUUAAAGCUCAUUUUCAUAUAAUAUUUAUUUAUUUAUUUAUUUUUACCUAUUUAAAUCAUUUUCCAUAUCUUGUUUUAGACUCUAGUUCAUUUUUUUUAUUGCAACUAUAUGCAUAUAUUAUUAUACUAUUAUAUACAUUAAAUUCUCCGUUUUAUAUAUGAUAUUUAUCUAAAUAAAUAUAUAUUAUUUUAUAUCAUUUAUUCUUAAUUUUCUUAAUUUUCGAUUAUUUCAAAUUUUCUUACUUAUUAUUUGUUUUAAAUAUUUUAUAUUGUUAAUAUAUCAAUAAUUUUCAAUUUCUUUUCUUUCAUGCCAUCUUUUAGUUAUUUCAAAACUUAUACAUGAGAUUUGUGUUUGUGUCAAUUCUCUUGCUUUUUAGGUUUUACUAGUUUUUAAAUAUGGAUGAUAGUAGUUGUAUAAUGUAUAAUAUAGGUUUGUUGCCCUUAUGUAUGUUGUCUUGUUUAUUUGUAUUUUAUUGAUUCUUUGUUGCUCAUUAGCUUGUAUUUAGCUUACGAUUUUUUUUCUUUUCACAAUCUACAUUGUAAUCCUCUUGUGUUUUAUUUGUCAAAAAGAUUAUCUUCUAAUCAAAUAUUAAAAUCGUUUUAUUCAAAGGUUUUCAAGAAAAUGUAAUACUCGGUAUUUGGGAUCUUCGAGAGGAUUGAGUCUUAACGUAUUGUGUUCUAAUUUUCCUCGUAGAAUCUAAAUAAUCGAGAUUUUUUUUUAAAUCAAAACUUAAAUAAAAGCUCAUUCUCGGGAAUUCGAUACGUCGUGUCCUAAUGUAUUGGACAUGACAUGUUGAUUCCUCGAGAUGAGAAUUUUUAAAAUAAUAAUAAAGGCAAUAUUCGAUAUUUAAGAAUUUUGUGAAAUUGAGCCCUAACUUACUGGGUUUUGAUUUCCUCAUUUGACCCAAAUAAUCGGAUAUCCUUCUCAAAAUGCAUAGGUUUUUUAAAGUCAAGAGAUAAAUUUAAUUUUGAGAAUUUAAAAUGUUGCACUCUAACUUACUGAGUGUGACGGUUUAUUUCUUUAAAAUAAGUGAAUCUCAUCGUCCAAUUCAUUUUACUCAAAUUUUAUUUUCAAGGGAUCGUAUCUUAAAAUCUUUUCAAAAAUUCGACAUUAAGACAUUAAACAAUCGAUUUGGUAUUAAUUUUGGGAGUUACGAGAGUGCUAACCUUUCCUCGUGCGUAACCGACUCCCAGACCUAUUUUCUCAAAUCUCGCAGACCUAAAAUUUAUUUUUAAUAGUGAACCGAUCAUACCUUAAUAAAAAAUCGAUAGCGACUCUCAUCUUUAUUUUUAAAGUCGAUCACUAUUUUUUUCAAAAUUUAAAAGUGGUUUCGAAAAUACGACAAUGAUUUCUGACAGCUUCCAUAUCUCACUCUCUGCUAUAUCUUUCCCAGCAAAAAGAUCAAGACUUGUGCGCAAUAGACCACCAAGGGUUUUGGCAGUCAAAGGAAAACCAUUCCUUUUUCUCACUAUUUCCAAAGCAACUUAAAGUCCCUUGCUCCUGACUUAUGCUGAGCAAAUACAGACGAUCAUCAAAUGACAAGAUUAUUGGAUAAAAUAAAUUAGUGAAUAAAUAUAAAUAAAUAAAUUUUAUAUUUAUGUAAAAAAAACAGCAGAUUUAAACAUUAAUAAAUAUUAAUAAUAUAUUUUUAAUAUUUAUUACAUUACUAAUGUAUUUUUUAAUUUCACAAAUUAAAAAAUUAUUAUGUGUUUAAUUAUAUAUAUGGGUUUGAUUAAUUUUUCGUAAUUUAUAAAGCUCAUUUAAAAGAUUACUCAAUAUCCAAGAUAAAGAUAAAAUCGAGUCAAAUAUUUAUUUUUAAUACAUUAUAAGACACUAAAUUAUUAUCACUUUAACAGUAAAUUCAUGAUUGUCCGCUAUCUAUUUUUCACAUGGCCACAGUGGAAAAGCUAAUUUGAAUGAAUCUUUCAAAAGAAAUCCGGGUAAACCAACGUGCGAAAAACAAAACAUAAUUCUUUGGUUAAACUAUACCUAAAGUCAUCAAACUAUUAAAAAUUUUAUAUUUUAGUCAUUCAACUUUAAAAAAUUACAAAAUAAUCAUUAAAUUAUUCGAAUUUUUUUAUUUAAAUUAUUGAGAUGUUGAAAUGAUUAGUUUAUGGUCCUUUCUGUUCACAAUCAAAAGCUUUCAUUUAUCUUCUCUUUUUAUAAAAUAACCUUAAAUGUCACAAAUUGUGAACCAAAACUUAAAUGACUUUUUUUUUUAUCUCUAAUAAUGGCUCAAAAAAUAUAUUCUUUCUUUUUCUUUUCUUUUUUCAUUUUCGCCCUCUCACCAAGUCAUUUAUAAAUCGAAAUGUCGUAAUCAAAAUUAAAGCAUUAGAUAUUUUGGCCAUUGGAUCAGUCGGUCAUUCAGAUACGCACUGUCUCAUAGCUUUGUAGUUGAAAAAGGCUAAUAGAAGGGGAACAAAAAAGGAACAUUGAAAGUGAAGCAGCGAUGAGUUCAGCUUCUUCAGUACUUGUCGCUUCUUCAUCGUUUCUAUAUUGGAUUCGUAAGCCUUCCCCUUUUAAAUUCUCCAAAUUCCCUUCAACUCCUCCCGUUACUCCGUCGUCUCCGAAGUGUUACCGUGUGGUGUGCCGUGGUGGGUCCCCUCAACCGGCAUCGUUCCCCGAUCUCAGCUUCGCCUUGCAUGAUGCUCUCGAAUCUACUGGAAUCGAUACCUCUCAUGCUAGAGUAACUACUACUACUCUCUCUCUCUCUCUCUCUGUUCUUACAUAAUCUUUGAUUUUUUUUUUCAGUUUUAGGAUAUGACUUAAUUGUAAAGAUUGUCUAAUUAUAGCAAUUUUGCUCGAAUCUUUUACUUUCAGUUUGGAAACAUGAUAUGAUUCGAGUUAGUGUCCAUGACUAUGAUGGAAAUUUCCUCUCUCUUUUUUCCUGACAAAUCUUAAUCGAAUUGUGUUCUAUAAUUCUAAAUUUGGAGAGGUUUUGAUGUGAAUUGAGCCUCCUUAGUACGAUUGAAGAAUUUCAAUUAUGGCAAUUUGAUCCUUUUUUAUGGAUUAUAUUGGUAUGAUACCAUUUUUUUUAGUUAUAAAUAAUUAUGUUAUCUGUCAGGAAUUGAUGUACUUAUGGCGAUUUUGUGCUUGGUGACCUCAAUAUGCUUGGUUUAAAAUUCAAUUACUCAAGUUUUAGUUUGUUCAAUUUAAUUUUGUUCAAGUGAAGUGAAAAAAGCGUGCAAAAUAAAAUAAAAUCGUUUUGGAAAGUUUGUAGUGGUUUUAAAUACAGGUCUGAAAGGUGCACUACAACACUUUCGAUUCAAAUUAAUUUUUUAUCUUGGGGAGGAUGGUACUUCGAAAGUAUGUCCUGGUUUUAUAUUCGAGUCCAAUGGGAUUUUGUUACCAAAAAAAUCAAAUAAUAAUUGAGAGCUUAAGUGCAAUGAGAAUUUUAGUCAUAUGUUAAUCUAACAUUGUUUUUUUUUUUAAUUGAUUUUUUGAACAGGAGGCGAGGAAGAGUUUUGUUUCGCAGAUUAAAAAAUUAUCUGAUAUCGAGAGAGAAACAAGUAUUUGCAUAAAUAGAUGUGUUGAUCUGGGGAGAACAUCUCUUUUUAUAGCAGCAGAGGAUGAUUCUCUCAUUUCACACUCUUCCGUUCCUCUGCCGGUGGAUGCAUUCCUCGAAAGAUUGGAUGAUCUCUCAAUGGGCUACUGCUCCCACUAUAACUCAGCAUGUAGGUCGUCAAGGGAGAAUUUUUUGGAGAGCUUAGAAAAAUAUCUAUAUGUCAAAAAGGUACUAUCUAGUUUUUACUCUUUUGAGUUCAAGGAAUUAUGCAACAUUUAUGUAAUGAAUUUUCUUCUUCAGUAAAUCUCAGAUUUGCAGAAUGUGUCAUAAUGACCAUUGGAACGGUGUAGCCUCUCUGUGCUUCACUGGUUGUAUAUAUGAGAUGUUACAUUUUGUCUCCUUUAGUUACUAAUUGAUCAAAUUCUUUGAACUUCAGUAACUUGGUUGCUUAACUAUUUACUUAAUCUUUUUUCUUUUUCUAAUUGGUCAAUCCAUUCACUUCUUCUAAGGGCUUCCGAAGAUCUACUGCCAAUAAUCAAGCAGAGCCACAAGCCCUUGAUCUUCACUCGGUAUGAAAUUUGCCUUCUAGUGUAUGACUCUAUACUCUUUUCAGAAGGGUGUACCAUUUUGUAGUGUUUGUUUUGUUAAAUAAUCUUAUGUUUGAGCAGGUUUUGACACAUCGUUCGGGUUCUGCUGUAAUGCUUUCACUGAUACAUUCAGAGAUUCUGAAAAUGCUUCGCUUGUGGGGCCUUCUGGAUUUCGAUAUUGAGAUUUUUUUUCCACAUGAUCCUCAUGGUCUUCCUAGAGCCUAUGAUAAGCAAAAGAGCAAAGAGUCUGAUCAGCCACACAUAAUGACCGUACAAAUGCUAUUGGAGGAGGUGACUUUUAUACUCGUGAACUUUUUUAUGUUCUUUACUUCUUACUAUUUUAAUAUUAAAUCCUGGCUGAAAUGAGAAAAUAAAACAAAUUCUAGUUAUUUAUUUUUCCAAUAAGUUUUUAUUGCAUCUUUGUCUUGUGCUUUUUCAGUUUUCUUAUUUGAUAUCAAAUAAUCAGACACAGACAGAAGGAACGUGAGUAGAAAAAAUGUAUAUCAGCUUCCUACAGUACAAAGAACCAAAGAAUCCAAAAUGUUAAAUGAUUGCAAACAAUUUAAUUAAUUCUCCCCUUUCCCUUUUGCAAGUCUCUUCCCCUGUGUUUCAUGUGAAGCUAAAGGUGGGAUUUUGAGAUUUCAACAUCUAUUUAACUAAGGUCUUAACUGGCAUGCAAAUUUGGUAUACACUUUGUUUUUAAUCUAUAUGAAAAGUUCCAACAUGACAUCCCUUGUAUGGGUAAGGUAAUCUUUUUCUUUUUUUGGGUAUUUGUGGGAGAUUUAUCUUCAAUACAUUCAAACUUUGACCUUUUUAUUUAAUCUAUUUCUGGUAUGGAUAUUCCAUUUUCUCCUCAUUUUGUAAUCUUUUACCUUUGGUUUUUGUUAUCUGUUUUCUUCUCAGAUAGUUUCAUGAUUGCAGAUUUUAAGAAAUUUAAAGGAUGCUUUCUGGCCAUUUCAACGUGGUGCUGCUGAUAGUUUAUUCUUAAGGGCAGCAAAUGCUGCUAACUGUAUAGAUAAAUUUAAUGGCUUUGAAGAUAGGUAUUUUAUCUAUAUUUCAAUUCAAUCUGUAUUUAGAUGUUAUUUUGGAGUUCUAGGUUAUGAUUUCACAUUUAUUUCAUACAGUGGCUAUCAGCUUGCAUCUACAAAGGCUGCUCAACGUAGGCUAGAUUGGGGUGUCUGGACCAGUGUUCAUUUUGGGGAUAUGAGGCGUGCUUUAUCUGGUAUGAUUAGAUGGUGCUGCAUGAGUAAAUUCUUUUUUAUUUUAGCUAUCACACAUCAAGAUCAAUAAAUGUAAAGAUAAUUGAAACUUAUUAUCGUGCGUUCCUUCUCUCGUUCUCAUUCCUUGCAACAGAAAGGGUUCAGAAAAUUAUUUGCACUAUUUCCAGUUUUAGCAUUCGGUCUUCCUUCUUUUUCUUGUCAGUUCAAAGCUUUUUCUUUCAGCAAUCAAGCUCAUUAACCUUUUUCUCCGCUUUUGAAUUUCCUUUCUCAAACCUGCUUUAGGUAAAAUUUCGUCUUCUUUUUGCUCAUGAAGUUGUAUGGCCCAAUGCAUUUCUGAUGUAAUGUCAAGGUUUAUGUGCUUCUAUUAUGAUGAAAUUGUUACCAUAUUUCCAGCAUGUGAACGCCUUAUUCUUCUAAGGACCGAUCCGAAGGAAAUGAGAGAUUAUAGCAUUCUCCUCUAUCAUUGUGGAUUGUAUGAGCAGGCUCUGAAAUUUCUCAAAUUGUAUCAAGACAUGAAGGUAAGUUUCAUGGUACACCUUAAUAUGCAACUUCGAACUCUGUUUUUAAGAAUUGGGACAAACAUGUUUAGUGAACUAUUUUCAGAGUUCUUCCGCACAAAAUCCGUCAACAGAUCUAGUUAGCAACCUAGAAGAAGAUGCUGUGAAGAAAUUGAUUGUACGUCUCAAUCUCAUUGCAAUGGAGGAAGGUUGGACCCGGCCAUGGUAUGUCAGAAAUUAUCUUGGCAAUAACUCUGAGCCAUGGUAAGACCUUCAUACAUUUUCCUGUGGCGUUAUAAAUUUCAACAUUUCCUUCUCCGAGAUGGAUAGUCAACUUAAGAGCAAGUUUACAGAAAAUGAGUUCUCAUGUCCAUUAACUGUGCAGUUUAGGAUCAUAACACGAGCCUGCACGUAGCAUAAGACGGAUUGAUCCGUCCUUAGGAUUCGACCUAGGCAUUUUGCAAAAUGAUGAAAUAAGGUAAUAGAUAAUUGCAUUUGGCCUAGCUUUUUAACAUAUGGUUAAUUUAGUAUACGAGUUUUUUAGGCUGCCUUAGUAGUAUUAUCUUAUCCCUGUACAGCAACAAAGAUUUGGUUUUGGGUUUACCUUAAAUGGUUGUAAAUGAUUGUUAUUUGAACCUGUUGUGUAUUGAAGAGAGUAUAAAAAUAGAAAAUAUGAAUACACCACAAGCUAUUUUGGUUUGCUUAGCCAUUGUAGAGUUGAGUUUAAGGAAUUUGAGUAUUCUAAUGCUUCACUCAAAUAACUUUUAUUUUCAAAUUUAUAUUUUGUAUUCUUUUAUUACAAUUGUAAAUUCUCAAUGUAAGAAUCAAAGCACAAAUAAUUUUUUAUUUUUCAGAUUUUAAAAUUCAGGUCUAAGGGUUAACAAUAAUAAAAUUAUUUUGUUAAAUUCAGGUUUAACAUGUCAUUUUUUGUAGUGACAUUGUUACCAAGCGAUUUCUUUUUUAAUUUCAAAAUAUCACAGAACAAUUGAAAAGUUUCAAUUUUUUGGAAUUAAUUAUUGAAGGUGAAUCAUUCCUCCAAUUAGAAUAUUUAUCUUACUAAAAAGCUUAUGAUAUUUUAUCUCAAAAUAAUUUUAUACCAUUUUCUAAAUCUAUUUAUAAUCUCUCUUUAAUAUCUGCAGGGUAAAUGUCAGUAAAAAUGAUUUAAUCAAAUUAAUGAUCAAUAUAUGAUGUAAUUAUUUAGUUAAUUAAUAUGAAAUACUUAUUUCAAGUAAGAGUUUAAUUACAUUUUAAAAGUAUUUUAAUGGCAUUCCUACCGGUAAUCAGGCUUCAGGCUUAAUCAACAAGUAUUUCAGAUGAGGAUCUUGAAUUUUGUUUGUAAAUACUUAGACGAAAUCCGUUUUAAGUUAAUUCAUUUCUUUUGAUGAAAGGAAUUAAAAUAUUCUUUUUAUAUUUAUAGAUAGAAUUCUUAUCCGAUAUAAAUUAAUGAUGUGUAAAAAUAAAAAUUGAAGUAAUGUAUUAUAAAAUUAAAAAAUAUUGACCUUGAAUCAUGGGAGUGAAGUAAAAUGACAAGAAUCGAGGGUUUGAUGAAUUCACAAAAUAGAAGGAUUAAUCAUUGAACUCACUUAAGUGAAUACCUUGAACCUCCAAUAAUAAACCAAGGUUAGGCUCAUUUUAAAAAUGGGUCUAUCGUUUUUUUUAAGUUGACUUUUUUGUUAUAUUUUUUUACCAAUAUUUGUUCUUAUUAAUUUAAUGAUUUUAUUUCAUGUUAAAUCAUAAAAUUAUAGAUAAAUUUUGAUUUAACAUGUAAUUUAGUGUGCGAAUUUUAAAAUAAUGUAUUCAUAUAUAUGAAACUUCUAUUUUUUUUUUCAAUUGUAUACAUAAGAAAUAAAAACAUCUAUUUGUUUUAUAUUGGAUAAAUAAAAUUAUUUAUGCAUACAAAAUUUGUAAGCUAAAAUUGUGUUGUAUCGAUAAUUAUAUUAGUAAUUGUGAAAACUGAAUUAAACCAAAACUAUGAUGAAAUGUCACUGUAUAACCUCCCCUUCAAUUAGGCGGGAGCAAUUGUUACACCUCGCUGUGAUCGCCCAAACAACUAAGUCUAUAAACAGUAUGAGGGGACCCCUCGUAAGAGCCCCUUAGCUUAUAACUUGCUUGACAAGUGAAACCACUUAUUAAUUGCCACAUUAUAUCUCAACUACCACAUCUCAUAUGAAAUGACCCAAGGCACAUCAUAGUACCAUUCUACCUAAGUUUAUAGCCCCAAGCUUCUUUCCCUUGACUCACCAAUAAAAACCUAACACCUGACACCUUGAGACAAGAGACGCCAAGUAUACAAGGCCUAGGGCCUAAGGAUGAGAGACAAGCUAUCUCCAUCUCAUUUUCUCCCAACCUACCUCAAGUCUCUUCCUCUCCUCCUUCCCUCCUACUUUGACCAUACUAUUUGGCAACUCUCCGCCCUGUCCCAAACAGGUUGAACCACCCAUCUCCACCACCUACCCAUCCUUGUAUCAACACAAUCCAUAAAGAUUAUUUCUUUUAGGGUUCAUGGCUUCCCUUUCCAACAGUGUCUUCUCUAAAGUUUAAAGAUUUAUUCUCUCUCUAUAAAUACAAUGUCUCUUACCAAUACACUCAAAACUUAUUAAUAGUUCCUUCAUAUUAUAUUAUAAAUCAUAUUUUAAUUGUUUUUCAUAUAAUAAAAUCAUAUAUAUAACUACAUAUAAAAGGAAAGCCCUAAUGGUCUUCUUUUGUUGACAUGUGUACCACCAAUUGUGCACAUUUUUUACAUUAUAAAAAUGGUUAGAUUUCAAUUUUGAUCCUUCUAUUAUGCAUCAAUUUGAUAUUUUAUUAUCUAAACUUUAGUUUCUAAUAUAAUUUGGUCUUUAUAAUUUUAUAAUAUUAUUAGUUAGUCUAAAUAGUUAACAUCAAUAACUUUUCAAUUAAAAUGUUGCUAAAUUAUAUAUAACUUAAAUGUUGUAAGGUUCUUAGAUAUUGACACGCAGCUUCUCAUUUAUUUUGUGUUUGUCUUUUUUUUUUCACAUUAUAAGACAAUGGUCAAAUUUCAGGUUAACCCAUAUAUUAUAUUGAAUUUAAGAUUUAAUUUAUAUACUUCAAUUUUUGGCAUAAUUUGGUUCUUCUAUUUUCAUAAUGUUAUCAGUUAAUCUAAAUAGUUAAUAUUGUUAACUAUUUUCAAUCCAAAUGCUAAUGUUAAUUUUUCUUAAGAGCACUAAUCCCAAAAAAAAAAUUUUUGAAUGGUAUUUUUAAGAAAAAAAUUCACUUUAACAUUUCAAGUUUAUUUUUUAUUACAUGAUUACUAAGUAAAUUACAGUUAAUUAGUAACAAUUUUUAUUUUGGGUGUUAAGUACUUUAAUCCAUCAUACAAUGAAACAUUCACUUUUAUUUUUUUUUUUGGGUAAUUCAAUAAAAUAUUUAAUUAAAUAUUGAUAAUUUUGAACAUUAUAUGGUUAUAAGAUACAUACAUAGUUGAAAUUAAACUAUAACAUGUAUAAAUGAAAAAGAAAGUCCAUUUUUUUAUAUAAUUAUUGUUUCUAAUGUAUAAUAAUGAAUAUUUAAGAGAUAAAUAAAAUUUAUAAUUUUCCUAAGAGCACAAAAUAAGAAAACAUAAAAGAAAUAAGUGGGACCAUUGGUUGAGAAAGGAAAGAGUGUGAAAUAAACUGCAAAAUAUUGUCACCAUCAAAGAAAAAGAAAGGUAACUUGGUCCACUAAUAUGCCUACCCCUAGGGGGUCUAUAGGGGAUAUAGGGAUGUAGAAUUUUGGCUAAAAUUCUUUAGAUUGGUCCAUAACCAAUAUUAAAUUUGUGGUCUCCCUAAUCAACCUAACAAAACCCUAGUGAUGUCCAAUUUGUUCACCUAAUUCUCAAUUUACUCCCUUUUUUCCCUCAAGAUCUACUAUUUGUUAUAAUGAAAGGCAUUUGGUUAUGUAAUGAUGUUGAGAUUAAUGGAAGUGUGGUUAUGCAUCAAUAUUCCACUCAAAGCAAUGCCCAAAAUAAUGAGUCGUCUUUAGUCAUUAUUACUUGUAAUCAAUUCGAUUAAUGGGUGUUUCUAAAAUAAUAUUAUUUUUAAUUAAUUACUAUUACCAUUUAACUUGGAAGUUGUAUCUUGAUGUUUCCUUAAACUUUUCUAAUUUUUAUUUGUAAUACUAGAGGCAUUUACAAAUUAAUUUAUUCGAAAAUUAAAAAACAUGGAGAAAAUGAAGAGAGAAGGUUAGAUAAGACAAGUAUAGAGCGUAGAAGUAGGAAUGACGGGUUGUGUCAGAUUUGAUUAGUUAGCAGUGAAAAGCCUCUUUCUCCCAAAACAUCUUUAACUGUUUCUUCACCGACUUUCAGUUUGCUUCUGCUUCAGCUUUUCGCACCUCUUUCCUUUUCUUUCUCCUUUUUAACUUUUACCAUUUCCAUUCCUAAACUUCCAAUCGUGUGUUAGAAUAUUUUCAAAUAUUUAUAGUAUCCCAAUAACUAUAAAUGAAUGGGUGUAAUUAAUCAAAAGAUAAAACUUUUGGUCAUUGGUCAAAAGUUAUAUCAUUUGAUUUUUUUAAAAAGAAUUAUAACUAUUCAAAAAAUAUUAUUUGAAUAGUUACAAAAUUAAAUGAAUAAUUAUUAUUAUUUAUUUAUUCAUAAAGACACCUAUUGAAAGAUGUCUCUAUGAAGAGACAUGAAAAUUCCUAUAAAUAGGAAUGGGAUUUCAUUUGAAAAUCAUAUCAACAAAUUCUAAUAUUAUUUCUUCUCUUCCUUCAUUUUCUAAUAUUAUUAGAUUAUUCUAUAAAGUAUUGCAGCAGAAAUCCUUUGUAGAAAUUGAGUUUUUGUUAUACAUUACUCAGUGCAUAGUGGACUAUUCUCGUCAGUGCAAAACGCAAAUAGUCAUUGGCUUCAUUGUAUCCUCGAGGUUAAUUUGCUUGGAACUCGUUUGCACACUGAAGAUAAGUGGGGGCGAAUAUAACCUUAAAGAUAGUGGCUUGAUACACGCCUUGGAGCCUGUCCUAUUUCUUCUUUUUCUUUUCGAGUUCCGAUCGUGUGUUCGAGUUUUUUCCUUAUUGGAGUUUUGCACUAACAAUUUUAAGGUUAUAUUUCAUGAUGACUACCACAACACAUGAAAGUGGAACACCAAGGGAGUUGGCUUCCAACUUUGUUAAACUUGAUCGUUUUGAUGGUGGCAAUUUUCGACGAUGGCAGAAAAAGAUGCACUUUUUGUUAUCAACUUUGAAGAUUGCUUAUGUUUUGGAUACUCCAAGACCUGAAGAGAAUGAAAAUGAAUCUGUUGCUGCAACCCGAGAAAGACAAAAAUGGGACAAUGCUGAUUACAUGUGCAUGGGCCACAUAUUGAAUGGUUUAUCUGAUGGUUUGUUCGACACCUACCAAAACGACAUCACCGCUAAAUAAUUAUGGGACAAAUUGGAGGCAAGAUACAUGACCGAAGAUGUUACAAGUAAGAAAUUUCUUGUCAGUCGUUUCAAUAAUUAUCAAAUGGUUGAUGGUCGUUCUAUUAUGGAAUAAUUUCGUGAUAUUGAAAAGAUGCUGAAUCAAUUUAAGCAAUAUGAUAUGAAAAUGGAUGAAAUGAUUGUGGUAUCCUCCAUAAUAGACAAACUUCCUCCAUAUUGGAAAGACUUUAAAAGAAGUCUAAAACAUAAGAAAGAGGAAAUAUCUCUUGAGGCUUUGGCAAAUCAUCUUCGUAUUGAAGAAGAGUAUCGAAAACAAGAUCAGAACCUAAAUUCUGAAAAUACCAAAGUACAUGUUACGGAGGAAGUACAAACUACUAAACCAUUCAAGAGAAAGUUCAAUCAGACUGAUAGAUCACCUAAGUUCAAAAAGAAACAAAAGGGCUCAUGCUAUCAUUGUGAAAAGCCGGGACAUUUCAAGAAUGAAUGUCGAUUUUUAAAGAAGAAAUCAUCUUCUAAGGCUGAUAAUAACGAAAAGUUCGUUGCAAUGAUAUUUGAAAUUAAUAUGGCACAAGAUGAUAAUACAUGGUGGAUUGAUACCGGAGCAACCAAACAUGUGUGCAAAGACAAAAGCAUGUUCACAAAGUUCACACAAUGUGAAAAUGACAAUGUCUUGUACAUGGGAAAUUCAUCCACCGCAACAAUUAAAGGCAAAGGGUCUGUUGAACUACAAUUCACUUCUGGAAAGGUUUUAACCUUAAAUGAUGUACAUAUGUACCAGAAGUUAGGAAAAAUUUAGUGUCUGGAAGUCUGUUGAAUAAGUUUGGUUUCAAACUUGUUUUUGAGGCAGAUAAGUUUAUUUUGUCUAAGGGAGGAAUUUUUGUGGGAAAAUGGUAUAUGUAUGAAAGCAUGUUCAAACUUAAUAUUAUUAAUAAGAAUAAAAAUACUAUUUCUGCUUAUAUGGUUGAAUCAUUUUGUUUGUGGCAUUAUAGGUUAGGUCAUUUGAAUUAUAGAAAAUUGAAUGACAUGUAUAAAUUAGAUUUAAUUCCUGUUUUUAAUAAUAAUAUUGAAAAAUGCAAUACCUGUAUGUUGACUAAAAUUACAAGAAAUCCUUUCCCUAAGGUUAAAAGGAAAACAAAAUUGCUUGAUUUGAUACAUAGUGAUUUAUGUGACUUGCAUAAUACUCCUACAUUAGGUGGAAAGAAAUAUUUUGUUACUUUUAUUGAUGAUUGUUCUAGAUAUUGUUAUGUAUAUUUAUUGCAUUCAAAAGAUGAAGCGCUUGAUAAAUUUAAAGUUUAUAAAUCUGAAGUUGAACUUCAGUGUGAAUCAUUUAUCAAGUGCUUAAGAUCGGAUAGAGGUGGAGAAUACUAUAAUCCAAGUUAUUUUGAACUCACUGGAAUUGUCCAUCAAGUUUCAGCCCCUUACACACCACAACAAAAUGGUGUAGCUGAAAGGAAAAAUAGAGUCUUGAUUGAAAUGGUAAAUUCAAUGUUAUCAUAUUCAGGUCUUGGACAGGGUUUUUGGGGAGAAACUGUUCUAACAGCUUGUCAUAUAUUGAAUAGAGUUCCUAAUAAGGAAACUAAAAUAACCCCCUAUGAACAAUGGAAGAAAAGGAAACCAAACCUUAAUUAUUUAAAGGUUUGGGGUUGUAGAGCUAUUGUAAAAGUUCCAACACCUAAACGUAAAAAGUUAGGUGAAAGAGGAAUUGAAUGCAUAUUUAUAGGUUAUGCACAUAAUAUCAAGGCAUAUAGGUUCAUAGUAAUUGAACCAAAUGAUUCAAUUUCAAUUAAUACGGUUAUUGAAUCAAGAGAUGCUAUUUUUGAUGAAAAUAGAUUUAAUUCUAUAUCAAGACAAUUACAACCACAACAAUUGAUUCAUUCUUCAAAUGAGAAUGAGAUUCCAUUGAAACAAAUUGAUAAUAAUGAUGAAUCUUGUCAAGAAUUAAGAAGAAGUAAGAGGAUUAAAAAGGUCAAAGAUUUUGGACCAGAUUUCAUUAUGUUUCUUGUAGAAGGAAAAGGUGAAAGUAUAUGCAAUAAGAUACUUUAUUGUUAUAAUACCGAAUCUGAUCCUAUUACAUUUGAAGAAGUAGUAAAAUCUCAAGACUCUGCUUUUUGGAAAGAAGCAAUAAAUGAUGAAAUGGAUUCAAUAAUGGGAAAUCAAACUUGGAUCUUAGUUGAUCUUCCACCAGGUUCCAAACCAAUAGGUUGUAAAUGGAUCUUCAAAAAGAAAAUGAAGGUCGAUGGAACCAUUGAUAACUUUAAAGCAAGGUUGGUAGCAAAAGGUUUUACACAAAGACAAGGUAUUGAUUACUUUGAUACCUAUGCUCCAGUAGCAAGAAUUGCUACAAUUAGACUAUUAAUAUCACUUACCUCUAUAUAUAAUUUGGUUGUUCACCAAAUGGAUGUUAAAACUGCAUUUUUAAAUGGUGAAUUGGAAGAGGAAGUGUACAUGGAGCAACCGGAAGGAUUUGUUGUUCCAGGACAAGAGCAUAAGGUAUGUAAGCUUGUUAAAUCUUUAUAUGGGCUUAAACAAGCACCAAAACAAUGGCACCAAAAGUUUGACAAGGUUGUUUUAGCUAAUGGCUAUAAAAUAAAUGAAUCCGAUAAGUGCAUAUAUAGUAAAUUUGAUAAUGGAAAGGGUGUUAUAAUUUGCUUAUAUGUAGAUGACAUGCUCAUUUUUGGCACGGAUUUGGAACAAAUAGAAAACACAAAGAGAUUCUUGUCAAACAACUUUGCUAUGAAGGAUAUGGGUGUAGCAGAUGUUAUUCUUGGGAUUAAAAUAACUCGAGAUGAAAGCACUAUAGCUUUAUCACAAUCACAUUACAUUGAAAAUGUGCUUAAAAAGUUUGAUCUUUUCAACUGUAUACCAGCAUCUACACCCAUGGAUCCUCAAUUAAAAUUAGUAUCUAAUGCUAGUAGGAAAAUUGAUCAAUUGAAAUAUGCAAGUCUAAUUGAUUGUCUUAUGUACAUAAUGACUUGUACAAGACCAGAUAUUGCAUAUGCUAUUGGAAAAUUGAGUAGAUACACAAGUAAUCCAAGUAGUUUGCAUUGGCAAGCUUUAAAUAGAGUACUUAGGUACUUAAAGAAAACUAUUAACUAUGGAUUGUGUUAUAAUGGAUAUCCUCCAGUUUUAGAAGGGUAUUCGGAUGCUAGUUGGAUUACAAGUUUGGAAGAUCGUGCAUCUACUAGUGGGUGGAUCUUCAUUCUUGGUGGAGGAGUCAUUUCUUGGGGUUCCAAGAAACAAACAUGUAUUACUGAUUCCACCAUGGCAGCAGAAUUUAUUGCAUUAGCCGCUGCAUCUAAAGAAGCAGAAUGGUUAAGAAAUUUGCUUUAUGAUGUACCUUUAUGGCUUAAGCCAAUUUCACCUAUUUCUAUCCGUUGUGAUAGUGUGGCUACUCUAGCAAAGGCAUAUAGCCAAGUAUAUAAUGGAAAGUCUAGACACAUUGGAUUAAGACAUAGUUAUGUCCGACAAUUAAUCUCUGAUGGAGUGAUCACUAUUAAUUAUGUGAGGUCAAGUGAAAAUUUGGCAGAUCCUUUGACAAAAAGUCUUGCUAGAGAUGCAGUAAAAAGGACCUCAAAGGGGAUGGGACUCAAGCCUAUUAAUUAGAGUCACCCAUGAUGGAAACUCGACUCAACACUUGGUAUAACGUCAAGUCUUGAGUUCAAUGAGACAAAGUACAUCAUUAGUAUGUGACUGUUAGCACUAUAAAUAAAUCCAUCCUAAGAUUAAAGUGCUAGGUACCCGUAAUGAUAAGGGAAGGAUGAGUAAUGUACUUUUAAUGGACCCAUAACAUAAAUAUGUUAGAGUGUUAUAAUUACGGGAACACUUUUGAUGGGAUCUACUUAUGUGAGUGGAAGUGUGGCCGCUUCUAGGAGCUUAAGGGCUUGGCUCUGACAGCACUCAUGAAAAGAGAACAUAGACACAUGGCUAUAAUAGUGUCCCUAGAUACUAUGCAUUGACUGAUGUUGAAAUCAUUGUGUGAGAUGUGUUCAGUUAAUCAAAUGGAAUAGUUGGUUCAAAGCUUAGUCUACCAUACAAUUUCGAUUAACUUUAACAUGUUUUCACUAAGUGAAGGUUCAAUCGUAAGACACCUUUAUUUAUGCAAAUUGAUUUCUAAGAAUAUCAAAAUCUAAAUAUUUUGAAAAUGGGGGGAGAUUAUUGGAAUAUUUUCAAAUAUUUAUAGUAUCCCAAUAACUAUAAAUGAAUGGGUGUAAUUAAUCAAAAGAUAAAACUUUUAGUCAUUGGUCAAAAGUUAUAUCAUUUGAUUUUUUAAAAAAGAAUUAUAACUAUUCAAAAAAUAUUAUUUGAAUAGUUACAAAAUUAAAUGAAUAAUUAUUAUUAUUUGUUUAUUCAUAAAGACACCUAUUGAAAGAUGUCUCUAUGAAGAUACAUGAAAAUUCCUAUAAAUAGGAAUGGGAUUUCAUUUGGAAAUCAUAUCAACAAAUUCUAAUAUUAUUUCUUCUCUUCCUUCAUUUUCUAAUAUUAUUAGAUUAUUCUAUAAAGUAUAUUAUUAGAUUAUUCUAUAAAGUAUUGCUGCAUAAAUCCUUUGUAGAAAUUGAGUUUUUGUUAUACAUUACUCAGUGCAUAGUGGACUAUUCUCGUCAGUGCAAAACGCAAAUAGUCAUUGGCUUCAUUGUAUCCUCGAGGUUAAUUUGCUUGGAACUCGUUUGCACACUGAAGAUAAGUGGGGGCGAAUAUAACCUUAAAGAUAGUGGCUUGAUACACGCCUUGGAGCCUGUCCUAUUUCUUCUUUUUCUUUUCGAGUUCCGAUCGUGUGUUCGAGUUUUUUCCUUACCGAAAUUUUGUACUAACAUUGUGGCCACCCCAACCAACUACGCCACCACUAAAACAUGGUCUCUCCCACCGCCACCACCACCCUAUGAUCAUCACCCCACCAACAUGUUAGGCCUCCAUAACAUCUUCCUUAUAGCUCCACCACCACAGGAAAACCAACAACAACAAGCCCCACCGCCGCCGCCACCACCACAACCCUUUAACCAAAACUACAACUUGACUGACACAAAUCUUUGGACUUUAAAGAGAAGCACCGCCCAAGAAUCAAUACCGGUUUUCCAAAAGAAAGAUGGAGCCUUGAAUAAUGUUGAAGAAGAUGAUAAUGAUGAAAGUGGUGCUGCUGGUGGUUGCUUCAAGGUGUGUAGAGAUUGUGGGAAUAGGGCAAAGAAGGAGUGUGGAUAUAGUAGGUGUAGGACUUGUUGUAAGAGUCGAGGGUAUGAUUGUGCUACUCACGUGAAGAGCACGUGGGUGCCUGCUGCUAGGAGAAAAGACAGGAAGGUUUUAGUGAUCGGGGGUGAUGACGGCGGCGGAAAUGGUGGUUGGUCUUCCGGCUCCUCUUCUUGUGGUGGUAAAAGACAAAGGGUUUUGAAUUUGACUUCAAACGCUGCUUCCAAGUCCUUGAAUUUUGAAGCAGGCACUUGUCACCAGGGUUUGCUUUCUCUUUAUCUUCUUCUUUCUUUCAUAAUCUUUCCUUCCAUUUUUCUUCACCUAAGUAUCAAAUUUAUUGAAUCCAUGCUGAAGAAACCAUUGAAUUCAGGAUAAAACAAUGCUGGGAUUCUCUUUUUUUUUUUUAAUUAAUGAAUGAUUGAAAUGUAUAGGAUUUAUUGAAUUUUUAGUGUUCAAUGGUUGCUUUCAAUGUAUUGAAUUUGUUGGGUUAUUGAGUUCUCAUCUAAGUCUUUCAACUUUAAAUAUAUAACUAAGCUAAGAUAUUAUGCAACUGAAUGAUUUAUAUGUACUAAAUUUGUUGAACUGUUGUUUUACCAUAUAUAAACUGUUCUCUGUUAGUAUAAAACUGGGUAUUUUGUUAAUUUCCAGAUUCAGGAUUUAAAGAAUCCUUACCGGUUCGAGUUCAAGCACCGGCGGUUUUCAGGUGUAUUCAAGUGACAGCCAUUAGUGAUGGUGAAUCAGAGAUUGCAUACCAAGCUACUGUGAAUAUAAGUGGCCAUGUUUUCAAGGGGUUCCUAUAUGACCAUGGAGUCGAUGUGAAAAACGAGUUUCCUUGCAUUUCGAAAGUCGUUUUUGAAAGCAGCAGCAGUGGAAGGGAUAGAGAUUCAUCUUCUCCGGUCGUUGAUCCAGCAAACACCUUUGCAGCCUCCGGUGACUGAGGAUCGGUUUAAGGUACAAUCUUUAGCACUCAACAUGUAAUGAUGUUUAUGUAGGUUCUAAAUGUGAUAGUUUAUGUGCUUGAUUACAGUGGAAAAAUGAAUCAAAUAGGCCUAACAAUGUGAAGGUUACUUCAUACCCCAUAAAUCAUAGGAUUUUACAGUUUUAUCUUUUCUUCUUUUUUCUCCUUUUGCAUAUGCCUUCUAUGAGAUCAAAGACGGCAUCGUUGUGAAGCUUCGUGAAUGAGAAGUGGUUCUUGUUCUAAUGUCACCAUCCAUCUUUGGUAAAAAAGCAAAAGAUUGUAUUUGCCAUGAUCUGCACUUCACUUUAGUGCUAGGCAUAUUUCCAAAAUAGGAAAGCACAUUAUUUGCAUAAAUCUUCAUCAUGUUGCUGAUAUGCAUCCUCAAAAACACUUCUGGGUCCGCUCGCAGCAUCGGAUUCCUACAUCAAUGCAUGAAAUUUCAUCCGGUUUACAUUCGGAAUUUCCUCAAUAAAGAUUGCAUUAUCUUUUUAUUUUGUACCAUACACAAUGAUUAGCAUACAUGUCAAAAAGUUUAGUGCCUGUUGUUCGUGUGCUUUGCUUGGUUUCAUUGCCCUGUUUCCAGCGUGCGUAUAUUACUUAGGCACAACCAUGAGAGUCAUAUAUGGAUAUGUAUUCAACACAGAUAUACAUUCAAACAAUCAUACCCCAUACAUCCGGAGUAACAUGUUUUUUACAAGCUGGUUCUCUCUUAUUCCCCCUUUUAACUUUCUGUAUGUAUAUGCCAGGACAUGAGCAGGAUUCAACCAAGCCAAUUUUGGUUGAAUGCACAUAUAUUAUACUACCUACAAAAUUCAUGCUUUACUUUUUUCUUUAAGAAGAUCGCAGUCCGAGAUAAGAGAAAGGUUGUGUAUGCUGAGAUUUAAACUCUAGAUUUGCUGGAUGUCAAUACAUCAAAUCCCAAGUUCCAUGCUUUCCAUUUCAACCCUAUAAGAAGUGAGAUGCCGUUCUCUGCUCUACGAACCUCGUAAUCAUCUUCGACUUAGUUUUGGCCGGUCACAAGCAAUGCAAAUUGCGCUUUGCUGUUUUAGAAUCCGGGUCAGUUGCUUUCUGCGCUCAAUAACAGAGAGUCUCCAUAGAAAGAAUUAAGCUUCCGAUUUUGAAGAGUUUAUUUGAAUGAGAUGUUAAUGUCAGUGAUUUAAGGCAUUGAAAGGUUUCCAAUAUAUAAGUGAAUGAUGUAUGCAUGUUUGUAGUUAUAUAAAUGAUUUUGGGCAGAUUUCUUGUUCUACAAGGAAGACUCAUCUUCUAGAAAUGCUGCAAUUAUGGAGUGAAGAAAACACUUGAGAAAAAAACCAGGUGAAAUAUUUGCCAUUGAAUCUAAUACAUGUAUGCUUGUAUUAAAAAUUUUCUAGUCUUUAUUUCAUUAAAUAUUUUUUUUUUAUAUUAAUAUAUUAUUUUUUAAAUGUUUAUAAACUAAUUGAUUGUUAAGUACUAAAAGGAAAUAUCUGAAUUCUUUUAGUAAAAUAUUAUCUUCAAAUCAUUAAAAUAUUAUUAUAAUAAAUUUAUUAUUAUGACUAUUGAAAAAUGAAUAACUUGUAAUAAUGAUAACUAGUAUUUGAUUAAGAAGUGAAAAGGAAAAUAAAACAAACAUUAUAAUUAUUUUUUGUACAAUAGUUUAUAUAAAGAAUAAAGAAGAUUAAGAAAAAGGAAAAAGAUAUUUUUCGAUAACUUUUUACUUCGUAUAUUAAACAUGAGAAAUGAUGGUAUGAAACUAUGAUUUUAGAUCAUCCUUAUCAAAUCUGCUUUAUCAUCUUUUGUUGAGAAGGGAUAAGAAUAAUGUGAAAUUACAAUUAUAUGCAACACAAUCCCUUCAUUAUUAAAGAUAUGAGGUGUAUACAUUUUUGACAAAGUUGUAGGGCUUUUGUUUAUGAAUUGAAGGUAAAGGAAAUUGGAGCAAUAAAAUUGAGGGAAGCAGCUGCAGCAUCCCCACGAGAGUUGGGAUGAACAUUUGGCAGCAUAACAAAGUCCACAGGCGGGGGCAAAUCCAUAAAUGUCAGGUCAGGACAAGUGGUUGGCCACAUUUUCCACCUUGUCAAAUCAAUCGCCUUCAUUUUUCUUCUGGAACCUUCUCAGGGAACAAUGUCCUUUGGCAUUGGCAGUUGACUACUUUCUUAAUUCAUUAAUCACACAGUUUUGCCGACAACCUUACUGUUGGUUGGAGUUAUCCAUUAAUAUCAUACACCAAGAUUAGAACUCCAUGAGAGGAAAUAAAGUUUAUAUAUUUGUUUUAGCACUGCUGUUAAUGUAAUAUAAAACAAACAAACAAACAAAAAAAACCCACUCAUCAUAUGAAAAUUUCAUGGAAAGCUCAGCGUGGGGUUUACUCGUGUGAGAGGAGGACAGGUCUUAGAAAUGGGCCUUGUAUGCAUCGGAAACUCACUACUAAAUGAUGUGCAUUGUUUGCUGCUGCAAAUGCCAAUGUUGAUUGACGUUAUCUUUGGAAAAUGAUAAGAGUGGUCCACGCAUUCAUUUCUUCAGUAAGAUUUAAUAUCAUUUUUUAAAAUUUAUCAAUAAAAUCAUAUUAAAUUCAAUAGCUUGUUAUCAUACAAACACUGUGUAGCAAAAUUUUUCAUCUUCAAUAUAUAUAAAAGCAACUAAAUGUUAGUUUAGUUCAAACAAAACCCUUCCUAUACAUGAUAAUAUCAAGCUAGUUAGGUACAAAAAAAAGAAUGAAUUCUAAUGUUUCACCCUUUGAACAAUUCAUUUACAUUUGAAGCAGCCUUAACAACUGUGUUUGCAAUGUUAACCUAAACCUUCACCUCAUGUCAAUGACGGAAGUCGUAAACCUUUUCUUUUAAGCACUCGCAUCCCUGAAAAACGAUCGGGUGUACACUGCUUCCGAAUUGAAAAUCUUGUAAAGAUCAUGAUGGCAUUUUCAAGUGUCUUCUAUGAAAACUUUGAAAAUGAAAUCCCGGAAACGUUUUGAAUACAACUUCGGGUCAACAGCAGAAAUCGAAGUUGGAUCAUAUUGCAUUGAUUUAUAUGCAUGCUCAAGCUUCUUGCUAAUAUCAUAGUCUUGUAGGAUGUCUAUUAUACCAAAGAAGAGAAUGACAUCAUACAUUACACCAGUUGGUUCUCCAACCACUUGGCAAUCGUUUUUCCUCACCGUCUUUUCGGCUCGAGCGGCCAUGUUUAUACCUAAACUAACCGGAGACUGCCUGCAUGUUUUCAUAUCGAAAUAUUCAUGUCAUGUAAUGUUUUAGAUCCAUAAAUCAUCAUGUUAAUGGCAAUCAAUUUUACCGUGUGGAGUUGAUAACAAGCUGAUCAUUGCUAUCUUCGGAUAGCCGAGGAGCUUCUCCAUUUUCACAAUCUCCAUUUCCUGCAAAUUAAGUCCGAAAGAUAUGUUAACCUGUUGAGCAACCAUUGAUUUCAAAGUCAUGGAAAUUUUAAUUUCCAUUAGAUAACUAGAAAUAAACCAGUAGGUGAGGAAACUCCAGAAGUAUGAGGCGUGGAAACUUCACGAAAGUGCAAACCGAUCAACAAACUGUAGUCCAUAAUUCUCUCGUUUUCAAGAAAGUCACAAUCUCGGUCGACUUGACUGCACGAAAGGAAUGGAAGAAAUAUUAGGUAACAUGAACCUUAAUAAUAAAGAGGUUAUUAGAAACAAGAAUCACCUGCAGAACUCUUUGAACCACAGUUUCUGCAAUCGAAAUAUAUAAUUGAGAUCGAGGUCUUUGAGGGUUGUUGUCGAGUCAAUCUCUGCUUCAGGUUUAGCAGUUGUGCGACCUUGGAAAGAACCUUUCAAGUCGAAGCGCCUAUGAAUGGCAGUGUCGGUACAGAACAGAUUCCCCAUUACAACAAAUCGAACCUGACUCAUUGAGAUCACAAGUGAAGAAAGUAUGAGAUUUAUUUCCUAAAUUUUAUUACCCCAAAGAUGUGUUUGAAGUUGCAUUGACACUACCUUUUUCUGUGUCGACCCGGUUAAUUUCACACAAUGAAGACCGAAAAAUUUGGUGACUAGAGUGUCCUUAAAGGACCGAACAUGAUUAUAGUAGGCCGGAAGCAUUCUUAUCAGAACCUGCAAAUGCAAUAGAGUCCGCAAUGAUGAUUAUUCAGUCAUCAAGAAAGUAAUGCAAAACUACUAGAAAUGCAGGUUUACAGGCUCAUCACAAUAGAAAAAAGCAAUAAAAACUUACUUUUACUUCUGCCUUCUUCAUUGUCUUUAUCAUGUAUUUGUCAUCAUUGGUCAAGUAAAAAAAGCUUCCACUUUUCCCGGGGGAUGAAAGUUCCCGAAGGGCAUCAUCCCCACAUAUCGAAAGCAUGUAAUCAGCUGCAUCUAUAUCGAACAAUUUCCUUAGGGUCCUGGAAUUGUAAAAGCAAUGACAUGUUAGGAAAAACUUGUAAUGUAACCCCUUAAUGGUGGUAUCAUAUUCAUAUCAUAUAGUUCAAAAGUUAUUAUCAUGCAAUGAAUUGGAUGAAGUGAAUAAUUUAGUAUUCUUCCAUUUGCAUACAGCUAUUUUCAUGAUGAUGUUAUCAUACUAUAGUAGCACGAUCAAGAAGAAACGGUUCUUCAAAGAAUGAUUAUCUUUUUGAACAAGCAGAUGAUCCAGUCUCGAACCUAAAUACAAGUGGACAGUAAUCCUUCCAUUUGAAUUCAGAAGAUGGAUGAGGCGGAGUGUGCUUCGAUCCUUCAGGCGGAAAUCUGGUCCAAAAUUUUUCCCUAGGAUCAAAGGCUGAUGUCUUCAAAUCAAGGGAUAAAGCUGGACCAGGCCUCCCAACAGAGUGUCUACAAUUUAACCAGAGAACCAAUACAUGCAUGAUUAGAAUAUAAAUUAUUAUAUCUCAAAACGGAAACAAGUUCGAUUUCAAUAAAUCUUCACAACAAAAUCAAUAAACAUAAUCUAAAAGGCAAUGCAUAUAGCGACAAACAUAACCUAUACCUUCAGUACCAAGCACUUGCAUGAUUACAACAUAAAUCAUUAUACCUCAAAACAGGAAAUGAGUUCAAUCUUCGCUGCAAUAUCGAUAAACAAAUCUAGAAGGCAAAACAACAUAUACCGAAAACAAAUAACAUUUGACAUUUCAUAACCAGAAGAAAAACAACAUAGAAGCUGAUAAGAUACAAGUAAAAACCAGUACCUGAUACCAAGUUGCAAGUUAAGCAUAAGCUCAAAAUUCUUGUGGCCUCUGGAUAUUGUCUGCCCUUGCCUCCUCGUUGGUGGCUUCUUAAGCUGUAGAGAACUCCCUCUUGCAACUGAAUCUUCAAGGUGAAGUCUUCUCACACUUCCAUCCCCGUGUCUUGUGGUUCCUUCACUACCAAAAGAAACACUUCCACCAUUGAAAUCUGAACUCAUACUAAAACCACUUAAACUCCCAUCAGACCUUCUUCUUUGUUUCCCAUCUUUCUCUUUGGAUAUUGCAAACCAAUUUGGCAUCUUUUCUGAAGGCCAAAUUGAUACUUUCUCACCACCACAUAUCUUACAGUCUUUCAGAUCCUCUAAAAACACCUGUUGAGGAUCCCAAUCAAAUUUCUCAGUUGGAGAAUCAGAUGGAUAAUAAGUUCCAUUUUGAUCUUUACCAUCUUUACUCCAAAUACCAACAAAAAAGCUCCCAUCUGGCCAUUUAUAAGUCCCAUUCCCUUUAGGAAAACCAUCCUCCCAAAAGCCAUCAUACCUAUUCCCAUUACUCCAAAUCAUUGUUCCAUUGCCAUUUAUCAACCCUUUCUUCCAUUGACCAAUAUAUUGGUUCCCAUUCUUCCAAUGGUACCUCCCAUAUCCUUCCUGGAAUCCACGGCGCCAUUCACCUUCAUAGUAAUCCCCAUUCACAAAACUAAUAGUCCCUUCUCCUUGUUUUAAGUUCAUAACCCAAGUCCCUUUAUAAGUUUCUCCUGAAAAGCCAGUGUAAGUCCCUUUACCAUCCAUAAAACCAUGCUUGAAUUCACCUUCAUAAGUAGCACCUGAAGGCCAACAGAACUUGCCUUUCCCCGUUGUUUUCCCUUUGAACCAUUCACCAACAUACAUACAUCCAUCAGUCCAUAAAUACUUCCCAUUGCCAUGAGGGCAACCAUUACACCAUUGGCCUGUAUAAAAGUCACCGCUAGGAAGGGCUUUUUCGACAUCGCCAACUUCAGCAGCCUCUUCAUCAUCAACAUGAGCAACUGACAUUGCUGUAAAUUUGCUUUCUUCUUUGCAGGUGCUUGAGAGUUCUUAACUUCAAUUUCAAAUUCCUUUUUAAAGCUUAGCUUUCUGCUCAUUCCAUAAAUUAACAAAUAAAAACUAUAUCUUCAUUCAAAUUCAGCAUCUCUUCCUCCUUUCUUUAACCAAUAAAUCAAAAUAUCAAAAGAAAAAAAAAUUGUCUCUCUUUGUCUCUUUUGUCUUUUCUCUUUGCAUCAAUGUGGGGUCUUCAGGAACACUAAAAAAAUGAAGAAAAACAACAAUUCUGAAACUGACCUUGAAGAGAGAAAAUUGGAGGGAAAUGGAAUCAUCUAAAUAAACAAAUAAAACCAACACCAAAAAUCCAAUCUUUUUAUCAAAGUUUUGAGCUUUCUGGGUUGCUAGUUUGUUUGAAGAAAUGCGAGAUAUAAAGCCAAAAAAUUGGAGAAAAUGGAAUAAAACUGGUUUCUUUCUCUCUUUUUUCUGGGAUUUCUUUUUCCUUUUGGUUUGGUUGAUUGAGAUCAUAGAACAAAACCAUUUUUGCGCAGAUUCUCGGAUUUGGUUCCUAAAAUAACUAGCUGGCCAAACAAUUGGAGGGAGAAUAGUAAGGGUUUCAUUGCCAUUUUUAGUGUCUGAAAAAAGAGUCUCUAUUACCACUAAUUUUAGUAUAUUAUUAUCAGUACUUCUCUCAAGUUGGUUUAUUUUUCUUCUUCAAUUUGCAAAUUUAUUUAUGUAAUUAACGUUCUUGUUAGACAAAGUCUUAUGUUGAUUUUUCAAUUUUCCAAAUUUUCUCUAAUCUUUUUAUUGGAAUUCAAUUCGGUGACAACAUCAUAAACCAGUGCUUGAACAUGCAUAUAUAUAUAGUAAUAGUUAUCAAAAUUACUACAAAGCACUUGCAUUAAAUAAUAAUGUAGGGUGUGCACUACUAUUAAUACACCAAAUUAAUCCAUCCAAUCGAUUUUUUAUUAAUUGGAGUAAUGGUUAUGAUCACUUUAUUUACAUAUAUCAAUUAAAAUUCAGGAUACUUCUCAAAAGCAAAAAAUAUAAGUACCUUCAAUCAAAUCAAUGUAUUUGAAAACAUCCAUCUCCAUCCAAACUUUAUUAUCAAGCAAUUUGGAGAAGAACUCACACUUUCCCAUAUUGAGCUUGUCUCCUUCAGUGGACAACCAUGGAGUUCUCACAUUGUUCAAAACAGACCCAAAUUGCAAAAUGGACGUAUAUAUAGAGGAGCAACCAAAUUCCAGUCCUUUUUAAAAUUAAAAACCAGACUGAAAACAUGUUUGUCAAGGGAGACAGAAAGAACAAAACAGCGAACACUGUCUGACUGGGGACACAUUAACUUAAAAGGUUUGGCUGGCCAUUGUUGAAACACGUCUCUCUCUCUAAUGGUGUGAUCUUAUUGCAAUCGUGCACCCUUGCUCGCUAUGUUUCAGGUUCAGACAAGGCGAACAUUGAAAAAUAAACAAUAAUAAAAGAAGUUGAAAAUCCCUGAAACCUUGGACCCACUUUUUGGUUGGAUUCAUAAUUAGGAUGAAACUUGUCUUUUUCUUGCCCAUUUUCUCUGUCGAAAUUAUUGAUAUAAGCUUAAUUCUGGUUUUAAAGUGAUUUUAAGGAAAAAAAAACUUUUUAAAGGUGAUGUGAAAAAGGUAUAAUACUUGAAUUUUAAGGGUUUCAUAGUAUUGUUAAAAAUUAGAGGUGAAACUUAUUAACCAGUGUUAAUAUAAUGAUAAGUGAUAUUACACUUUCAAAAAGAGAAUGUAAAUUUGAAGACGACAUUAUUAAGUGAAGUAAUCAAACGAAUAUAAAAAAAUUGAAAAUAAAUUAUGGAUAAUAGCUAAAAUGUCCUUUUUUUACAUGACAAUGUAAUGAUACAUGAAAUAUAAAUUUUAAAUAUAUUUUAAGUAAUUAAUAUAAAUUAUUUGUAAAAUUAAUAAUUCAAAAAAUAUAUAAUAUUUAAAUAAUUUAAUAUAAUAUAUAUAAAUUAAUCUAAUUUUUAUAUACUUAAAUAAUUGAUUAAGGGUAUUUGAUAAUUUCACUUCCAAAAGCAAAAGUCAAAAACACUUGAAUCCCAACUUUUAAAUGAAGAACUGCCCUAAAGUAUGUUUACAAGUAGUCAUAUUUAAAGAUUUAAGAGUCUAUGCAUGAGUUUUGAUUUAGUUAAUUCUAGCUUGAAUUGUUCUAGUCAUACAUACGGGGGGAUCUUCGAGCCCCACCAAUGUUGCUAUUGUGCAUAGGUUUAGUCUGUUCUAAUCUGAAUUGUUCUAGUUUAGUUUGUUUGUGCUAUAAUUAUUCGAUUCUAUGCUUUAUUUUGGCUCUUAAUCCAUUUGUAUCGCAAUAAUUUGAUUCUUUAUUUACUUUAAUUAUACUUGUGAACUGUCAAAAACAACAACAAAACCAUUGAUUAAUACAUAAUUUUAAAUUAGUUUAAAAUCUUAAAAUUUUAACCUAUAUUAUUAAUAAUUAGAUUCAAUUGUUUAAUUUAAUCAAUUUAUAUUCUAUUUUAAUACAUUUAUGGAAAAUAAAAAUAUUACAAAAAUUAAAUUUUUUUGUUUAAAAACCCUAAAAGUCGCCAAGAGUGCUUUGUCGAAAGUCCUAGAGAGAGCAGUAGAUGCUGCAGCUUGGGAUGGAGGAAAGUGGUGGUGGUGAUAGAGAGGGAAGGGAUGAGAUUUCCCUUUUAGUAGAAGAACUUAUUCAACUAUCGGUAAAGGAAUCGAUGGUGGUGCCAAGUGAAAAACCAACUCUGAUUUGUACAAUAUGGACAGAGAAGCUUUAUAAUCCUGAAAGUUUUAAAGCGCAGAUGAGAAGCAUAUAGAAGACAAGGAAAAAUUUUGAGAUUCUGAUGGUAGGACAGAACUUAUUUUUGAUAGAGUUUGAUUUAGAAGAGGAUCUAGAGGUAAUUAUGGAAGGGAGACCAUGACUCUUUCGUAAAAGUGUUAUACUGUUCGACAGGUUAAUUAAACCGAUAAAGAGGGCACAGAUUCGUCUUACUUUAUCACCGUUUUGGAUAAAAAUAGGUUCGUGCUUACCAGAGUUUGAUAAGAAGGAUCUUUUACAUGCCAUUGGUGUCACGUUUGGUGGGGUUAUCAGAUCUGAAAUCAAUGGGGACAUAUGCCAACUGAAGAUUAAUUUGGAUGUGCAGAAACCCCUUCGAAGAGGUAUUUUUGUCUCAAUUGAUAAUUUUAAUAAAUCGUGGAUUUCUUUUAAGUAUGAGAAACUUCCUCUGUUUUGUUUUGGUUGUGGAAGAAUAGGGCAUAGUCUCAAAGAAUGUCAAGUGCUAAACCCUGUUGAAAAAGAGAAAUUCAAAGAAGAUCCAAAUUACACGUUGGCUUUAAAAGUAGAAUCGAAUUUAAUUGGAAAGGAGAACAUGAAAUUUAAUGAUCUUUUAAAAAAGGUGAGGGUUCAGUGCUCUUAUACAGGCAGUACAGAGUUGUUGCCAACUAGUUUUAUAAUAUCUAUGGAGGAAAAUAAUAAGGCUCAGAGGACACAAAGGAUAUCGUAACAGACUAGUGUAGAAGAGGCCAUUAAGAAGCAAGAGGAAGCAUCUAAAAAAAAAUGAAGAGCUGGAUGAAAGUAAAUACAAGCAGGUAAAAUUUUCAAAUAUUACUAAGAAGCUAAGCUGGAGAAGAAUCGCUCCAAUUAUCAUGAUGAAUCAAGAGAAGAGUGAUAACGGUACAAGGAAGAGGAAAACCCCUGAAGAAGAAAUUAAUAGUUGCAGUACGGAAGUUGUGUAUGCUGAAAGGAAAAAAUUAUUGAAAAAAGUAGAAAAGGGUCGUGAAGACGUUCUACCUAAAGUAACGAUGGAAACUAUGGCGCAAAAAGAUGCUCCACAAUUCAUAGGAUUGGCGGCUGCCAGCAGGCAAGCCGGCCGAAUGCAAUGAAAAGCAUAAGCUGGAAUGUUAGUAGAUUGGGAAGUUCAAGGGCAGUAAGAAGGCUGCGGUAUUUUUUGCAGCAGUAUAAUCCCCACAUGGUCUUCUAAAUGAAGACAAAAAUUGAUAAGCAACGCAUGGAAAAGGUUAGAAGGAGAUAUGGAUACCUGAAUGGGAUUGAUGUUGAAGCAGAGGGAUCGCGAGGUGGUCUAUGUUUAGCUUGGAAAGAUGAUAUAGAAGUUGCUCUAAGAAGUUUCUCUAAAAACCACAUUGAUGUCAUGGUCAAAGACGAAAGUGAUAAAGAAGAAUGGAGAUUCACGGGUUUCUAUGGUUCACCUUACGUUAACAAUAAAAAUGUUUCGUGGAGUCUGCUAAAGAAAUUGGGGGAAGAUAAAACACAACCAUGGUUGGUGAGCGAUGAUUUUAAUGAAAUUAUGUAUUCCUUUGAAAAGAGGGGAGGGAUAUCAAUGCAGGAGAGGAGAAUGGCGACAUUUCGUGAGACUCUAGAAGAAUGUCAAUUAGAAGAUAUGGGAUAUUCAGGGGCUUGGUUCACAUGGGAAAGAGGAAACUUGCCUGAAACAAAUAUAAGGGAAAGACUUGACAGGACAAAUGGCGGCACUAUUUUCCAACGGGUAACAUUCAACAUUUACCCCAUUCUAUGUCUAAUCAUUGUCCACUUCUUCUAAAUACUAGUGGAAACAUUCAUGUGGGGAACUUAAACUUUAAAUUUAAAGCGUGGUGGAUCAUGGAAGAAACGUUGGAGGAAAAAAUUAAGGCAUCAUGGGAAUCAUCGACAAACACAAUAAUGGAGAAACUUGAAAUAUUACAAUCUGAUUUAUCGGCAUGGGCGAGAUUAAUUAAAAAAAGGGAGACAGAGAUUAAAGAAAAAAACUCACAAAGGAAUUUGAUAUCUUAAUGGAGGAGGAGAGGGACAAGGAUACAUUAGCAAAAAUUAUUGAUACAAAUAUUCUCCUAAAUAAGGAAAUUGAUAAAGACGAACUCUACUGGGAGCAAAGGGCUAGGGCAAAUUGGCUUAAAGCAGGUGACAAGAAUUCAGCCUUUUUCCAUAAGUAUGCCUCUUUAAGGAGGUGAAUUAAUACGAUUUCUUGGCUGGAGCUUGAAGGAGAAGGAGAAACUACUGAAUUAAGUGAGAUUAAUGAAGCUGCUACCUCAUUUUUUCGAAAGUUAUUUACAUCUAAUGGAAUUGGGAAUUUAUCUUAUCUCUUAACAAGCAUUGAAAACCGUAUCUCUCCAGAUAUUAAUUUGGCAUUAUUGUCAGCUUAUUCCGAAGAAGAAGUGCAUUUAGCUUUAAAGAGAAUGGGGCCUACUAAAGCACCAAGACCUGAUGGUUUCCAUCUUCUAUUUUUCAAAAAUAUUGGCAUAUAGUAGGGAAAGAGGUUACAAAUUUCUGUUUGGGAAUUUUAAAUAGUAAUCAGAAUUUGGAUCCUAUCAACCAAACAGAUAUGGUGUUGAUCCCAAAAAUCCCGAACCCUACAAGUCUAGCCAAUUAUAGACCUAUUAGUUUGUGUUUGGUCCUAUAUAAAACUAUGGCAAAGACAAUUGCUAAUCGACUUCAAGUAGUAAUUGAGAAAUGUAUUGAUGAGGCCCAGAGUGCUUUUGUUCCAGGCAGACUUAUUUCAGAUAAUAUGCUUUUGGCUCAUGAGAUUUUGCAUACUUUUCGAAAUAAGCGCAUAGGAAAAAAGGGAUAUAUGGCAGUCAAGCUUGAUAUGAGCAAAGCCUAUGAUAGAGUUGAGUGGGAUUUUCUUAAAGAAGUAAUAUUAAGGAUGGGUUUUGCAAAGGAAUGGGUGGAGCUAAUCAUGAAAUGUAUCAGUACAGCGUCCUUUGCAGUGAAUAUAAACGGGAAAAGGGGAAGAAUUUUUCAAUCAACUAGGGGCUUACGUCAGGGAGAUCCCUUUUUCUAUUUUGCAGUGAGGGUCUUUCAUCUUUGAUGCGUUUGGCAAUGAAGGAAGGCUUGAUGAAAGGUGCAAAAGUUAGUAGGAGAGGCCCAGAGAUAUCACAUCUUCUUUUUGCAGAUGAUUGUAUACUGUUCGGGGAAGCAUCAGAUAGGAGAGCGAGAAUUUUAAAAGGAAUCCUAAAGGAGUACGAAAGGUGUUCAGGUCAAUACGUCAAUUUUGAUAAAUCUAUUAUUUUUUACAGUUCGAACACAUCAAAAGAGAAGAAAAGUGAAGUCUUAACAAUCCUAGGGAUAAAAAGAUCAACAAACAUGGAAAAGUAUCUAGGUCUUCCUAAUAUGAUUGGCAGAAGGAAGAAGGAGUCCUUUCAAAAUCUAAAAGAGAAGAUUCAUUCCAGAAUUGAAAGAUGGAGCACAAGAUUUUUAUCACAAGGAGGCAAGGAAGUAUUCAUAAAAUCAGUACUUCAAGCUAUUCCAACCUAUGCCAUGUCUUGUUUUCUCUUACCAAAAUCUCUUUGUGGGGUAUUUGAAAGCAUGUUUGCUAAAUUCUGGUGGCAAAAAGCACAUGGGAAAAAAGGAAUCCAUUGGUAUCAGUGGAAGUAUCUGUGUCGAUCUAAAGAAGAAGAGGGAAUGGGAUUCAGGAACAUGGCACAAUUUAACGUCUCAUUAUUAGUUAAGCAAGGAUGGAGAAUUCUAAAUAAUCCAAACUCUUUGGUUGCGCAAGUAUUAAAAGUAAAAUAUUUUCUGAGUGAAAAUUUUUUAGAUUCGCGCUUGAGGAACAAUUGUUCGAAUGCAUGGAAAAGUAUACGGGCUACGAAGGGCAUUUUAGAUAAGGGACUAUACUGGAAGGUGGGCAGGGGUACGAAUAUUUCAGUCAUGAAUGACGUUUGGAUUCCUGAUUUAAGAUUUUACAGAUUAUCAUCUUUAGUUUAUAAUAUGAGUGAUUUUAUAGUUGUUGAGUUAAUUAAUACCAAUAGCAGACUGUGAAAAAAAGAGUUGAUAGAGUCUACAUUUCCAGAAGAAGUAGCUGGUAGGAUUUUCUACGCAUUCUGCUGGCAAUUGACCCUCACAAUGAUUUUCUAGCAUAGAGCGAUGAGCCUUCGGGAGAGUAUACAGUUCGUAGUGCCUAUAAACUAUUACAAAGCUUGAACGAAGAUCCUAGAGCUUAUGCUUUACAAACCGACUACAAGGGAUUCUAUAAAAAACUAUGGCUACUUAACCUACCUUCAAAAAUAAAAAUUACAGUCUGGAAAGUAUCAUGGAACUAUCUUCCUUUACGGGCCAACAUGCAACAAAGAAGGUUAACAAAUAUUACAAUUUGCCCGAGGUGUGAAAGUGGAACAGAGACUAUGAAUCACUUAUUCCGGGAAUGUCCGACUUCAGUAUCAGUAUGGGGAGAAUUAGCAUGUCAGACUUUUCUAUCUGAAUAUCAUUUGGAGUUCCCACAGUGGCUAGUCUGGGUUUUUGAGUAGAGUAACUCAGUCCAGUGUAGGAUUUUUUGCUGCAUUUUAUGGGCAAUCUGGGGAGACAAGAACGCGAGAGUGCAUAAGAAGGUUAGUAAAUCUGGAAAGGAAAUAGUGAGUUUUUCCACUGUUAUAUUCUAGAAUUAAAUGAGAUUGAAACGAGAAGGCCAAAAGUUUUUCCAGUUGUCAGUAAAUGGAAGAACCCACCUGAUCAGUUUGUGAAGAUCAACUUUGAUGCUGCAUAUGACGAAAGAUCUUCUCAUUCGACACUAGGAAUUGUGGCCAGAAAUAGUGAAGUAAAGGUUCUCCUUGCAUGCUCGAAAAUCCACAAACAAGUUGCUUCAGCCUUUACUGCUGAGGCAAUCGCGUGUCGAAGAGCAACACAACUUGGCAUUGACAUGAAAUGGAAAAACAUUAUCAUCGAAGGUGACUCAUUAUCAAUAAUCAAAAAGUGUAAAACAAACAGUCAGGACAAGUCACUGAUAGGGGCAUAUAUAUACAUGAUAUUCAACAGAUCUUGCUUAAAUCUAGAAAAUGCAGAUUCGAAUAUACUCCACGAACAGCAAAUUGUCUAGCACACUCUAUUGCAAUUGAAACGAUGAAGCGUAAGAAGGAGGUUUACCUAAUAGGAAGAGUCCCCGAAUAUGCAGAAAAACAGAAGGAGAGGGAUAGUGUGAGAGAACCGGACUGAAGAAAUGAAAGGUAAAAGUUGAAAAUUUGAGAGUUUGAAAUGGAUAUCAAGAGGCUCGACGGAGGAGCUCUCCUUGAGAAUAUAGAAUCGUCUUAAACAAGAAAUGUCAGAUGAUAAGAUAGGACGAUCUCCAAAGCAUUUUUCAGAUUGGGAAGAGUUAUGGCAUUGAAUGCGGUUUCUAGAGUCUUCUGUUUUAUUUUAUUUAUUUAUUGGUUUUAUUUGUUUAGUUUUUCUCCUAUUUGGGCUUUUGUUUAUUAGGACUUUGGUCUUUGUUUUAGGUCAUCGACUUUCUAGGCUUUGUGCUAAGGUUUUGUACUAUUUGUUUUGUUUAAUAAAACCCAA